rnacentral:lncRNA from 1 species
GGGCAUUUUGGUCUUUUCCUGUCAAAAUUUCGGCAGGGAGGUAUUUUAAAAUACCUCAUGUCAGUAAUUGGUUCGUUUUAGUCCUUUUGUUAAUUUUAUUUUUGGUUUCGCUUUACGUUGCGUCAAAUUUACUUUUUAGUCCAAUUUUAUUUUUUUUAAUUGCAUUUUUGUCCAAUACUUUUUUUAAUUGCAUUUUUUUUAGUCUUUUUUAUUAUUAUUGCAGAUUAGUCCUCAUAUUAACUUUUUUGCAGAUUAGUCCUUAAGUCCAAAACAGUCCAGGUGUCAAUUUUCCAUUGGAUCUCCGAUACACAUGGCAGGCUAUAAAUAGUAAAUGUGUCAGAUCCAUCACAAUCAGUCAGAAAAAAAAAUCAGAAUCAAUCACAAUCAGUCUCAAACAGAAUCUUUUUCUCUCUCUCAUCCAUAACAGAAUCAAAACAGAAAAAACUCAGAAAAAAGAGGAAGAACACCAAGAACACAUCAUCACCAAAAUCAACAGAUCUAAACCGGAUCUGCUCAGAAUCAACUCCAAUCACCACAAAAUCAACAAAUCCGAACCGGAUUCACUCAAAACCACCGCGAAUCAUCACAUCAACACCAAAACUUACCGGAUUUUUGAGCAAAAACAACCACAAACGGAGAAAACGCGCGCGCACGGAGAGGGGAAAAAGGGAGAUUCGAAGUUUUCCGAAGAUUUUUCUCCGUUCUACGACAGAGGUAACGCAUUUCUCUCCUCUUUUCCUUCAUUUUCGCGCGCGCCUAUAGUGUAGAAAAAGUGUGAAAAAGUUUGUUACGGAUAAAGAUUUGUAGAUCUAGGCUUUUGUGUUCGGAUUUUGGAAAUUUUGAGGCCGGAUUUUGACUUUAUAGAGAAAAGGAUAUCUAGAUCCGUAGUUUUUUUUGCGAUAAGUGUGAAAAAAAUUUCAAAGUAAAAACGUAGAUCUAGCCCAAAUCUCUCAGCUCUUUCUAAAACUAGUGCCGGAUUUGUGUAGAGGAGGAGGAGACGAAGCUUUUGGUAUAAAAAUUUUGAAAAAAAAAAAAGAAAAAGCUCCGACGCGGUGGCGCCGCCGCCGGAAACUGGCCGGCCGCCGCGCCGGAGCAGCUCCGGCCACCUCCUCCACCUUCUUCUCCGGCGAGCUGUUUUAGAGAGAGGGGAGAGCUUCUCUCUCUAAGUGUGACUUAGAGAGAGAAGGAGAAGAGGUUUAUGUGUUUUUUGUGUGAAAAUUCCUUUAUAUACUCCCUCCGUUCCCACGUGCGUGCGUACAUGCUUCUGUGGUGUUCCCUCGCUCUGUGAACCAUCAGAUCUGGAUUGUUCCAAGAUCUGAUGGCUGCUGUGUGUUUGAUUUUGAAUCCUGUGUGUGAUUUUUUGUGUGGAAUAUGGUAUAUCUUCUGUUUGAACCGUUAGAUCUUUGAUCUAACGGUCACUGUGCUUCGUGCAUUUUACACUAUCUUUUGUGCUCUUUUUUGGACCCUUGGAUCUUUGAUCCAGUGGCUGUGAUGUGAUCUUGGGAGUUAGAUCUGGACCUCUGGAUUCAUCCAGCGGACCAGAUUAAAUUCUGCUGAGCCUUUUUUUAAUUGCUUUUUAAUUGUGUUUUAAAUACUUUUUUUACACUUUCUUGGCAUUUUAUGCUCCUAAAAAAUUUUCUAAAAAUGUUUCCCUAUCAUUUUAAUUUUUUCUUUAAAUGUUAGAAUUUACUUGCUUAUUUUUUUUAUUUUCUUCAUUUGUUCUUUUUAAUUCUUGCUCAUUAAAUUCCUAUAUGUUCUUGGUGCAUUUUUUGACAUUUUGUGAUAUUUUUAUUUUUUUUGCAUGUUAAAUAAUGUGUAGAAAAUAUCCCUAGGAAUAUGGUAUGAUGCUUUGUUUGUGUGUUUUUAUGAUCCUCACAUUGUAGCUUAAAAUCAAAUCUCUUUUAAAAAUGGCUAUGAUGAGAUAAUUAUAAGCCAUAUGCAUGUCUAAGUGUUAUACCUAAUUCUAGGUAUAUUUUGCCACUUUAUUUCAUUUCAUUACCUUUUUUUCUCUUGCUAUUCUAUUCAAUUUUGUUUACCUUUCUACUAUUUUUAUGCCUUAUGAUACUAACCAUUUCAUCUAACAUUUCAUUCAUCCCAUAGUUUUAGCAUCAUUUUUUUGUUUUUAUUCAUUUCUAUAUCAAUUGGGUUUGUAAUAAUUUUAGAUAGAUUAGUUCCUUUUUAAAUUCUUUGCAAGACCAUAGCAUGUAUUUAGGACUCAAUGUAAAGGACUAUGGACACUAUAAGUGAUGUACACCGACACAAGCACCGACAUGCACACACGUUGCAUGUUUACCGUUUAGAUGUAUGUUUAGGAAAUGCGAUUUUUAGACAAAUGUCAAUUUUCAAAAAAAUAAUAAACCAAUUCCAUCAUUCAAAUUUUUCCAAACAAAUCUUGGAGUCAAAACUCCAUUGAAUUUCUUCUUUAUUUUCUUAAACAAAUCCAAAUGAAUCCUAAUUUCUACUUAGACUUUUUUAAUAACAAUCGAACCAACCAUUCACCAUUUUUCUCUCUUAUGCCUUUAAGGCCUCUUCCUCUUCUUCAAAACCUUUUUCCAACAAAAACUAAAAUCAACCAAACACACAAAAAACAUUUUUUGAGAGAGAACUACAUGGAGUUUGAUCCCUUAAAUGGGUAUGUAGGCAUGAGGUCAAAACCUCUCCAAGUCCACUAAAAUAAAACCUCAAACACUUUCUCCCCCCAUUCUUCACUCAAAUAAAACUUCUUUUUUAAUAAGUAGGCAAUAAAAAUAAAGCGUAGAAAUAAACUUAAGAAAACGGCUCCUAUAGAGUACUAUAGUCACCGCGGGUGCCUAACACCUUCCCGUAGUGAAAACGACCCCCGAACUUCGAAUCUAAGGGUUUUUUCUCAAUUUUGCCCUUCCCAAGAAAAAAUAGAGAAUAUCAAAGAUUGAAAGGUUCAAGCCUAAUUUAUGACUUGACACCCGAAAAUCGCGAUAACAGAAAUGGCGACUUCACUGGGGACACUUUUAGCGGGUCACGCCUAGUUUUCUUUAGUUUAUAUUUACGCUUUGUUUUAUUGCUUACAUAUGUGAAUACUUGUUUAUUUUCAUUUGACGUGUGGGGUGAGAAUAUCAAAAGUCCUAUACCCGGGCUGAGUGAACUUAUGAAUAGGUAGAGAUAUAAUCGACAAUUCGAUCCGAGGGUUGCCUCGUGUAUUGGGUUAUGCGAUCAAUCUCACAUAGCUGAGGCAUUUUGGAAGUAAUAUUGUCGGCGUGUGUUGUCAUGCUUAGGCACUUUGCUUUCAAUUGUUCGACGAUGCUAUGGACCGUAGUUACCAAACCCAUCCCUGGCCUUUUUAGGACGUAGUGCGGUGGCUAAACCGAGUGUUGUCUCGAGUUUUAGUCGUCACGCGAUACUACACUCAAACUAGACCUUCUUGCGAAUAAACAUGGAACGGACGUUGUCCCGUGCUACCAUGAUAUACGUAAGAGAGGUUGCAGUUUGGGAACUUGAUUAGAACCUUGGUUACUAUUAUCCUAAGCCUUAGUUUACCGGGCACCGUGUCCGCCCUUGGCUCCUCGACUUUAAUCUCAACCCUCCAUGUUUUCUCUGUAAUUGAAAAAACAAUCAUGCAUACAUGCAUUCAUGCAUAAAUUUUUUCUCAUGCAUUCAUCGAAGGAUCGGACAAAUUAAAAACUUUGUAAACAUUACAGGUAUGAAGAAGACUAAAUCCUACAAGUUCAAGGAGGUUGAUUUGGUUAGUUUGAGAGAGUUGGCACUCAAGGUGAAGAAUCAAACAGGUUUCCGACUCCGGUAUGGUGGUUGGCUUACUAUUCUCCGGACUAAUGUUGAAGAGAAGCUCGUGCACACUCUAGUGCAAUUCUAUGACCCGAGUUUCCGCUGCUUCACUUUCCCGGAUUUCCAGUUGGUCCUUACUCUUGAGGCUUAUUCCCACUUAUUGGAUUCACCUAUAGCCGAGAAGACGCCUUUCACCGGUCCCGGGGCUUCUCUUACUCCUCUGGUUAUUGCUAAGGAUCUCUAUCUCAAGACUUCCGAUGUCUCCAAACAUCUUACUACUAAGUCUCACAUCCGAGGGUUCACUUCCAAGUAUCUACUUGAGCAAGCUAAUCUCAAAACUACUUGUCAGGACGCACUCGAGGCUAUUCUUGCAUUGCUUAUCUAUGGGCUCAUUCUCUUCCCGAAUCUCGACAACUUUGUGGACAUGAAUGCUAUUGAGAUCUUCCAUUCUAGGAAUCCGGUUCCUACCCUGCUAGCUGACAUGUAUCAUGCUAUCCAUGACCGGACUCUCAAAGGUCGUGGGUAUAUCCUUUGCUGCGUGCCUCUCCUAUAUAGGUGGUUUAUUUCUCACCUUCCGAGCUCCUUCCAUGACAACUCGGAGGAUUGGUCCUACUCACAGCGGAUGAUGGCUCUCUCUCCUAACGAGGUGGUCUGGAUCACUCCCGCCGCUCAGGUUAAGGAGAUUAUUACUGGUUGUGGAGACUUUCUCAAUGUACCUCUUCUUGGUACCCGUGGGGGAAUCAACUACAAUUCCGGAGCUUGCUAUGAGGCAGUUUGGGUUCCCCAUGAAGACAAAGCCCAUCAAUCUUGCUACAUCUCCGGAGUUCUUCUAUUAUUCGAACGCCCCCACCGGACAAAGGGAGGCUUUCACAAAGGCUUGGUCUAAGGUCCGUAGGAAGAGUGUGAAGCAUUUGGGUGUGAGAUCUGGUAUUGCUCAUGAGGCCUAUACUCAGUGGGUAAUAAACCGAGCCGAAGAGAUUGGUAUGCCAUACCCUGCUAUGAGACAUGUGGCUGCACCUGCUCCAUCUAUACCUUUACCUCUACCUCCCAUAACUCAGGAGAUGUAUCAGGAGCAUCUGGCCAUGGGAAGUCGUGAGAAACAAAUGUGGAAGGCCCGAUAUAAUGAGGCUGAGAAUCUAAUCAUGACUUUGGAUGGUAAGGAUGAGCAGAAGACUCAUGAGAACCUGAUGUUGAAGAAGGAAUUGGUUAAGGUCCGAAGGGAACUUGAAGAAAAGGAUGAGCUACUUAUGCGGGACUCCAAGAGAGCCAGAGGACGACGCAACUUCUAUGCUAGAUAUUGCGGUUCGGAUUCGGAGUCUGAGUCUGAGGAUCAUCCCACCACUUCCUAUGCUUGAGAGUUUUAAAAAUCCUUCGAUGUCCAAAAACAACUUUUGCAUUUGCAUUUGUACAUAUCAUGCAUCAUGUGCAUCAUUCAUCAAGCCACAAAAGGUUUCCAAGUGCUCACUGCCUCCUGGGUCUUCUGCCACAGAUUGAAAGGUGGCUCGUGCUCGGAAAGUUUACGAAUCAGACAGAAUACACCGGAUAAGACUCUACAGAAAGAAGAAUUCGGCAGCCAUGGAAGAAGAGAAUGCUUAGCUCCGUACCGAGUUAGCCACUCUAAGGGAAGAAUUGGCUAAAGCUAAUGAUGUCAUGACUGCUCUGCUAGCCGCUCAAGAACAAUCAGCCACGGCUAUCCCUAUAGCCACAGCUAUACUGGUGACUACAAGCAUGCUCCCAACCGCAUCUGCAGACGCUCGCUUUGCUAUGCCAGCUGGGUUUCCGUAUGGGCUUCCACCGUUCUUCACUCCCAGUACUGCAGCGGGCACUUCGGGCACUGCUAACAAUGUUCUGAUCCCUACAACAAAUGUUGGCUCAUCAAUGCCACUUUGCCACAAACAACGGCAGCUGUCACUGAGCCUUCUUGUGCAUACCAUGCCCCAAGGUGUUAACAUCAACACACAGCAUGGAAGCAUCCCCGUAACCAAAACCAUGGAAGAGAUGAUGGAGGAACUUGCUAAAGAACUCCGUCAUGAGAUCAAAGCCAAUCGAGGAAAUGCGGACUCUUUCAAAACUCAAGAUCUCUGCUUGGUGUCAAAGGUGGAUGUCCCUAAGAAGUUCAAAAUCCCGGACUUCGACCGAUACAACGGCUAACUGUCCCAGAACCACAUCAUCAAGUACGUCCGAAAGAUGGGCAAUUACAAAGACAAUGAUUCCCUUAUGAUCCACUGCUUCCAGGAUAGUUUGAUGGAAGAUGUUGCAGAGUGGUAUACUAGUUUGAGCAAAAAUGACAUCCAUACCUUUGAUGAAUUAGCCGCUGCUUUCAAGAGCCACUAUGGGUUUAACACCCGAUUGAAGCCGAACAGGGAAUUCCUCAGAUCUCUCUCCCAGAAGAAGGAGGAAAGCUUCCGUGAAUACGCACAGAGAUGGAGGGGGGCAGCUGCCCGCAUUACUCCCGCUCUUGAUGAAGAAGAAAUGACCCAGACAUUCUUAAAGACCUUGAAGAAGGAUUAUGUUGAGAGAAUGAUCAUUGCUGCCCCGAAUAACUUUUCGGAGAUGGUCACCAUGGGAACUCGUCUGGAAGAAGCCGUCAGGGAUGGAAUCAUUGUGUUCGAGAAAGCUGAAUCCUCUGUGAAUGCAUCGAAGAGGUAUGGUAAUGGACACCACAAGAAGAAAGAAACGGAAGUAGGGAUGGUGUCAGCUGGAGCCGGUCAAUCCAUGGCUACUGUUGCUCCUAUCAAUGCAGCCCAAAUGCCUCCGUCAUACCCAUAUGUGCCGUAUUCUCAGCAUCCUUUCUUUCCGCCAUUUUAUCAUCAGUACCCUCUGCCACCGGGUCAACCUCAAGUACCCGUUAAUGCAAUCGCUCAACAGAUGAAACAACAGUUGCCAGUUCAACAACAUCAACAAAAUCAGCAAGCUAGACCUACUUUCCCUCCGAUACCGAUGUUAUAUGCUGAGUUGCUUCCGACUUUACUCCAUAGAGGACAUUGUACAACCAGACAGGGCAAGCCCCCACCUGAUCCGUUGCCUCCAAGGUUCAGGUCCGAUCUCAAAUGUGAUUUUCAUCAAGGCGCCCUGGGUCAUGAUGUCGAGGGGUGCUAUGCUUUGAAGUAUAUCGUAAAGAAGCUCAUUGAUCAAGGAAAGCUGACUUUUGAGAAUAAUGUCCCACAUGUCCUCGACAAUCCUCUUCCAAAUCAUGCCGCUGUAAAUAUGAUCGAAGUAUGUGAGGAAGCUCCUAGACUUGAUGUCCGUAACGUCGCAACUCCUCUGGUGUCUCUACACAUCAAGCUGUGCAAAGCUUCUCUGUUUAGCCAUGAUCAUGCCAAGUGCCUAGGAUGCCUUCGUAAUCCUUUGGGUUGCUAUACUGUUCAAGACGACAUCCAAAGCUUGAUGAAUGAUUAAUUUUUUGACUGUUAGUGAUGUCUGCGUAAUUGUGCCAGUUUUUCACGAUCCGCCUGUCAAGAGUAUGCCUUUGAAGGAGAAUGCUGAGCCUCUGGUGAUAAGGUUGCCCGGACCGGUACCGUAUACUUCAGAUAGGGCUAUCCCGUACAAGUAUAAUGCUACCAUAAUUGAAAACGGAGUAGAAGUGCCUCUGGUGUCCUUGGCUGUGAUGAACAAUACCGCCGAAGGAACUUCAGCAGCCCUUAGAAGCGGAAGAGUCCGUCCACCGUUGUUUCAAAAGAAGGCAGCUACGCCUACCGUGUCACCCAUUGACAAACCAACCCCGACUGAUGUUUCUCCCGUUAACAGAGACGCGAGCCAAUCAGGCCGGUCUAUAGAGGAUUCUAAUCUGGACGAGAUUUUGAGGUUGAUCAAAAGAAGUGAUUAUAAGAUUGUGGAUCAGCUGCUGCAAACUCCGUCGAAGACAUCCAUUUUGUCUCUACUUUUGAGUUCCGCUGCCCACAGAGAUACCCUUUUGAAAGUAUUGAAAGCAUCAUAAUCUGGCCUUGCAUAUCUCCGUAAAUUGCAAGUCUGACAUGAUCUCAAAUGUGUUAGUAGACACUGGCUCAUCUUUGAACGUGAUGCCCAAGUCAACGCUGGAUCAGCUGAGUUACCGGGGAACUCCUUUGAGGAGGAGCACUUUUCUUGUCAAAGCCUUUGAUGGAACCCGCAAGAGCGUUCUCGGGGAGAUAGACUUGCCAAUAACUAUCGGUCCCGAAACCUUUCUAAUCACCUGUUAAGUCAUGGAUAUUAAUGCCUCUUACAGCUGUCUCUUGGGGAGACCUUGGAUACAUGACGCGGGAGCGGUGACCUCUACUUUGCACCAAAAGUUGAAAUUUGCAAAAAGUGGAAAGCUUGUUACCAUUCAUGGAGAGGAGGCAUACCUGGUUAGCCAGCUAUCAUCUUUCUCUUGCAUAGAGGCAGGAUCUGCAGAGGGGACCGCUUUUCAAGGAUUAACUGCCGAAGGUACGGAGUCCAAGAGAGAUGGAACUGCCAAUGGCUUCUUUGAAGGAUGCACAGAGAGCCGUCCAGGAGGGUCAAGCUGCCGGCUGGGGCAGGUUAAUACAGCUUCGUGAGAACAAGCAUAAGGAAGGUCUUGGCUUCCUCCCCAACUUCAGGAGUUUCCACCGGGGCAUUCUAUAGUGCUGGGUUUGUCAACGCAAUCACAGAUGAAGCAACUGGAUUUGGCCCGAGGCCUGUAUUUGUUAUACCAGGAGGCAUUGCGAGAGAUUGGGAUGCCAUUGACAUUCCCUCAAUCAUGCAUGUUUCUGAGUAAUAUACCUUGUUGCUUAAGUAUCUUGUUUUUUCAAAAUAACAAUCCUCUCGCUCUGCCCAAAGCGAGAGUGAUAUUUUCUGUAAGGGCAUGUUUGUUUCGGCAUUGCCGUUGAUUAAUAAAAAAUUGUCGUUUCUUUCACGACUGCUUUUUUUUAGUGCCUUUUUUCCUUGGAAAUAAUGGUAAUGCCAGAAAAAACCAAAAUAUCUGUAUUUUCUUAUUAAUUUCAAAAAUCUGCAUAAAAAACCUCUUUCUAAAAUCAUCCAACCAUUUUACGCAGAUUGAACUAUAAUAAACCCGUUGGGCACAGUAACCCUGCAUUCCCUCCGAAUUUUGAGUUCCCAGUGUAUGAGGCCGAAGAUGAGGAAGGUGAUGACAUACCAUAUGAGAUCACUCGGUUACUUGAGCAAGAAAAGAAAGCCAUUCAGCCUCACCAGGAAGAGAUUGAGCUUAUCAACAUAGGUACCGAGGAGAACAAGCGAGAAAUCAAGAUCGGUGCUGCUCUAGAGGAAGGGGUUAAAAAAGAAAGAUCAUCCAACUCCUCCGGGAAUAUCCGGAUAUUUUUUGUCAUGGUCGUAUGAAGAUAUGCCAGGUCUAGAUCCUAUGAUUGUGGAACAUCGGAUCCCCACCAAGCCUGAAUGUCCUCCCGUCAGGCAGAAAUUGAGAAGGACUCAUCCAGAUAUGGCUCUCAAGAUUAAGAGCGAGGUUCAAAAACAGAUUGAUGCGGGUUUCCUCAUGACAGUUGAGUAUCGUGAAUGGGUUGCCAAUAUUGUACCUGUGCCAAAGAAGGAUGGUAAAGUCCGAAUGUGUGUUGACUUCAGAGACCUGAACAAAGCUAGUCCAAAAGACAACUUUCCAUUACCUCAUAUUGAUGUGCUUGUUGAUAAUACUGCUCAGUCUAAGGUGUUCUCCUUCAUGGAUGGUUUCUCCGGUUACAAUCAGAUCAAAAUGUCUCCUGAAGAUAGAGAAAAGACGUCUUUUAUCACUCCAUGGGGUACUUUCUGCUACAAAGUGAUGCCGUUCGGCCUAAUAAAUGCUGGUGCUACCUACCAAAGAGGGAUGACUACUCUGUUUCAUGACAUGAUUCACAAAGAAGUCGAAGUAUAUGUGGAUGAUAUGAUUGUGAAGUCAACAGAUGAGGAGCAACAUGUUGAAUAUUUGACAAAGAUGUUUGAAAGGUUGAGAAAAUACAAGCUUCGAUUGAAUCCCAACAAAUGUACAUUCGGCGUCAGAUCCGGGAAGUUAUUAGGCUUCAUUGUCAGCCAAAAGGGCAUUGAAGUCGAUCCUGAUAAAGUCCGCAACCUGCGGGCCGAUCUUCAAGCUACUCAGAAAGAAUCAGCCUAUUCUAUGGAAUGAUGAAUGUCAAGAAGCUUUUGAUAGCAUCAAGAAUUACCUGCUGGAACCACCUAUCCUUGUCCCACCCGUGGAAGGAAGGCCUUUGAUUAUGUAUUUGGCAGUAUUUGAUGAAUCCAUGGGAUGCGUACUUGGUCAACAGGAUGAGACUGGAAAGAAAGAACAUGCUAUCUACUAUCUAAGCAAGAAGUUCACCGAUUGUGAAACUCGGUACACAAUGCUUGAGAAGACUUGUUGUGCUCUUGUCUAUUUGCCUUUGCUUUCAGUCGAGUGACCAGUUCGAAUCAAGAACAAUUCGUGCCUGUCUACCUAUUCUAUGUCUCCGAUCGAGUGACCAGUUCGAAUCCAAGAACAACUCGCACCUGUUUGUCUGCUUUUAUUCCAGGUCAAGUGCCCAGCUCAAUCCAAGAGCAGCUUGUACCCGUCAAUUUGUUCCUAGUCUCCUAUCUACCCUGUUAUCUGUUAUCUUGUCAAUGUCUACCAAUCCCGCAAUGGAUACGACAUCUUUUGUUAAUUCCAGCUUUCGUUUGUCUCGCACUCAUAAUCCAAAUGUUGCAUGGCAUUCAUGAUAUUUGAAAAUGUACAAGCGUAUUUUUACGUCCAAACACAGUGCAAAUGUUAAUAUUUAAGUAUCUUCGUCCCGUCGAGCCAAAGACUCCGUCUCUUGACCCUCCAGACAAAGAAACUUAAAUAGGGGCAGCUGUUAUACCCUGAUUUUGGACCUAAAAAUACUCGUUCAAAUUUCUUUUCUAACACUGAUACUUGUCAAAUUCUCUGUUAUUUUUUUCUCUGAAUCUUUACUCUUUUUUUAAACAUAUUUUACUGCCUCUGUCUGUCUUUUCUUGCAUUACAAGUCAUUUAAGAACUCUCUGAAACGUCGCAUUACUUUUCUUGCAUUUUAUUUCAAAAAAUCAUACAAAAGGGGUAUUUUGGUCAUUUCCUGCAGUGGAACCCAUUUUAGUCCCUGUGUUUGCCUCUGAGUCUUUUCAACUUGUCUGUACGAAUUAUUGUUGAGUCUUUGUUUAAAAAAUCAUUUCAAAAAUUGCAUCUGAGUCAGUUAGUCCCUAGGGGCAUUUUGGUCUUUUCCUGUUAAAAUUCCGACAGGGAGGUAUUUUAAAAUACCUCAUGUCGGUAAUUUGUUCGUUUUAGUCCGUUUGUUGAUUUUAUUUUUCGUUUCACUUUACCUUUUUACCAAUUACCAAUUUUAAUUCAUUUUAUUUUUAUUUACAUUUCGGUCCCCCAAAAGGGUCCCAAAAUUGCAUUUUUGUCCAAUACUUUUUUAAUUACAUUUUUUUAGUUUUUUUUUAUUAUUGCAGAUUAGUCCUCAUAUUAACUUUUUGUCAGAUUAGUCCUUAAGUCCAAAACAGUCCAGGUGUCAAUUUUCCAUUGGGUCACCAAUACACAUGGCAGGCUAUAAAUAGUAAAUGUGUCAGAUCCAUCACAAUCAGUCAAAAAAAAUCAGAAUCAAUCACAAUCAGUCUCAAACAGAAUCUUUUUCUCUCUCUCAUCCAUAACAGAAUCAAAACAGAAAAAACUCAGAAAAAAGAGGAAGAACACCAAGAACACCUCAUCACCAAAAUCAACAGAUCUAAACCGGAUCUGCUCAGAAUCAGCUCCAACCACCACAAAAUCAACAAAUCCGAACCGGAUUCACUCAAAACCACCGCGAAUCAUCACAUCAACACUAAAACAUACCGGUAUUUUCGAGCAAAAACAACACCAACGGAGGAUAUAGCGCGCGCGCGAAAGAGAAGAGGAGAGAUUCGAAGUUUUCCGAAUAUCUUUUUUCUCCGUUCUACGACAGAGGUAACGCGUUUCUCCUUUCUUUCUAAGCCAUUUCCGCGCAUUUCUUGCUUGAAAAAGUGUGAAAAAGUUUGUUACGGACAUGUAUUUGUAGAUCUAGGCUUGUACGUUCGGAUUUUAGAAAUUCCGAGACCGGAUUCGGACUCUAGAGAGAAAAGGAUAUCUAGAUCCGUAGUUUUUUUUCAAAAAAAGUGUGAAAAAUUUUCAAAGUAAAAACGUAGAUCUAGUCCGAAUCGCUCCGUUCUCGCUAAAACUAACGCCGGAUUUGUGUAGAGGAGGUGGUGACGGUACUUUUGAUGUAAAAAUUUUUAAAAAAAAAGUAGUUUGAAUUUUCCGGCGCGGUGGCGCCGCCGCCGGAAACCGGCCGGCCGCCGCGCCGGAACCACCACCACUCAUGCUCGCCGGCGGCGAGUUCCUAGAGAGAAGGGAGAGCUUCUCUCUCUAAGUGUGACUUAGAGAGAGAAGGAGAAGAAGUUUAUGUGAUUUUUGUGUGAAAUUUCCUUUUAUAUACUCCCUCCGUUCCCACGCGCGCGCGUGCAUGUUUCUAUGGUGUUCCCUCGCUCUGUGAACCAUCAGAUCUGGAUUGUUCCAAGAUCUGAUGGCUGCUGUGUGUUUGAUUUUGAAUCCUGUGUAUGACUUUUUGUGUGGAAUAUGGUAUAUCUUCUGUUUGAACCGUUAGAUCUUUGAUCUAACGGUCACUGUGCUUCCUGCAUUUUUACACUAUCUUUUGUGCUUUUUUUUGAACCCUUGGAUCUUUGAUCCAGUGGCUGUGAUGUGAUCUUGGGAGUUAGAUCUGGACCUCUGGAUUCAUCCAGCGGACCAGAUUAAAUCCUGCUGAGCCUUUUUUUAAUUGCUUUUUAAUUGUGUUUUAAAUACUUUUUUACACUUUCUUGGCAUUUUAUGCUCCUAAAAAAUUUUCUAAAAAUAUUUCCCUAUCAUUUUAAUUUUUCCUCCAAGUGUUAGAAUUUAUUUGCUUAUUUUUGCAUUUAUUUUCUUUACUUUGUUCUUUUAAUUCUUGCUCAUUAAAUUCCAUAUAUGUUCUUGAUGCAUUUUUUACAUAUUAUGAUAUUUUGGCAUGUGAAAUAAUGUGUGAAAAUAUCUCUAGGAAUAUGAUAUAAUGCUUUGCUUGUGUGUACUCUUAUGAUCCUCACAUUGUAGCUUAAAUUCAAACCUUUCAAAAAAUGGCUAUAAUGAGGGAAUUAUAGGUCAUAUGCAUGUAUGAGUGUUAUACCUAAAUUCUAGGUGUAUUUUUACCACUUUAUUUCAUUUCAUUACUUUUUUUUUCUCUCUUGCUAUUCUAUUCAAUUUUGUUUACCUUUCUACUAUUUUUAUGCUUUAUGAUACUAACCAUCUCAUCUCACAUUUCAUUCAUCCCAUAGUUUUGGCAUCAUUUUUCUAUUCAUUUCUAUAUCAAUUGGGUUUGUAAUAAUUUUAGAUAGAUUAGUUCCUUUUUAAAAUUCUUUGCAAGACCAUAGCAUGUAUCUAGGACUCAAUGUAAAGGACUAUGGACACUAUAAGUGAUGUACACCGACACGAGCACCGACACAUGCACACACCCCACAUGGAUGUUCUAGAUGCAUGAUUAGGGAAUGUAUGUUUAGAUGUAUGCCUUAGGUUUUACAACGCUUAGACAAAAAAAUCAUUUUUUCAAAAAAUGUGAAUAACCUCACUUGAAAACUUUUUUUCUAAAAUAGGAGUCAAAACUCCUCAUUUUCCUUUUGUUUUCUUAAGUUAAAAAAUUUUUUAAUAAAUUUUAAUCAUGCUUAGACUUUAUUUUGCAAAAUAACUACUUCCACCUCACUUUUUCCAAAUCUCAUGCCCUUGAGGCCUCUCACCUCCAUUCUUCAAAAUUCCUCUUUUCUUUUCAAACUUAAAAUCAACCAACAAAAAACAAAAAACAAUUUUCGAGAACGAACUACGUUUGGUUUUGAUCCCUUAAAAGGGUACGUAGGCAAUGAGUUAAAACUCCUCCAAGCCAAGUAAAAUAAAAUAUCAAUCAUCUUCUCUCCCCCAUUCUUCACUAAAAUAAAACUUCCUUUUUUAAAAUAAGUAGGCAAUAAAAAUAAAGCGUAGAAAUAAACUUAGGAGAACGGUUCUUAUGGAAUACCAUAAUCGUUCCGGGUGCCUAACACCUUCCCGUAGCGAAAACGACCCCCGAACUUAGAAUCUAAGGGUUUUUUCUCAAUUUUCCCCUUCCCAAGAAAAAAUAGAGAAUAUCAAAGAUUGAAAGGUUCAAGCCUAAUUAAUGACUUGACACCCGAAAAUCGCGAUAACAGAAAUGGCGACUUCACUGGGGAAAUUUUUUUUUUUAGCGGGUCACGCCUAGUUUUCCUUAGUUUAUAUUCACGCUUUGUUUUAUUGCUUACAUAUGUGAAUACUUGUUUAUUUUUCAUUUGACGUGUGGGGUGAGAAUAUCAAAAGUCCUAUACCCGGGCUGAGUGAACUUAUGAAUAGGUAGAGAUAUAAUCGACAAUCCGAUCCGAGGGUUGCCUCGUGUAUUGGGUUAUGCGAUCAAUCUCACAUAGCUGAGGCAUUUUGGAAGUAAUAUUGUCGGCGUGUGUUGUCAUGCUUAGGCACUUUGCUUUCAAUUGUUCGACGAUGCUAUGAACCGUAGUUACCAAACCCAUCCCUGGCCUUUUAGGACGUAGUGCGGUGGCUAAACCGAGUGUUGUCUCGGAGUUUUAGUCGUCACGCGAUACGUACACUCAAACUAGACCUUCUUGCGAAUAAACAUGGAACGGACGUUGUCCCGUGCUACCAUGAUAUACGAAAGAGAGGUUGCAGUUUGGGAACUUGAUUAGAACCUUGGUUACUAUUAUCCUAAGCCUUAGUUUACCGGGCACCGUGUCCGCCCGUGGCUCCUCGACUUUAAUCUCAACCCUCCAUGUUUUCUCUGUAAUUGAAAAAACAAUCAUGCAUACAUGCAUUCAUGCAUAAUUUUUUCGCAUGCAUUCAUCGAAGGAUUGGACAAAUUAAAAAGCUUUGUAAACAUUACAGGUAUGAAGAAGACUAAAUCCUACAAGUUCAAGGAGGUUGAUUUGGUUAGUUUGAGAGAGUUGGCACUCAAGGUGAAGAAUCAAACAGGUUUCCGACUCCAGUAUGGUGGUUUGCUUACUAUUCUCCGGACUAAUGUUGAAGAGAAGCUCGUGCACACUCUAGUGCAAUUCUAUGACCCGAGUUUCCGUUGCUUCACUUUCCCGGAUUUUCAGUUGGUCCCUACUCUUGAGGCUUAUUCAUACUUGUUAGGCUCACCUAUAGCCGAGAAGACGCCCUUCACCGGUCCCAGGGCUUCUCUUACUCCUCUGGUUAUUGCUAAGGAUCUCUAUCUCAAGACUUCCGAUGUCUCCAAGCAUCUUACUACUAAGUCUCACAUCCGAGGGUUCACUUCCAAGUAUCUACUUGAGCAAGCUAAUCUCGAAACUACUUGUCAGGACGCACUCGAGGCUAUUCUUGCAUUGCUUAUCUAUGGGCUCAUUCUCUUCCCGAAUCUCGACAACUUUGUGGACAUGAAUGCUAUUGAGAUCUUCCAUUCUAGGAAUCCGGUUCCUACCCUGCUAGCUGACAUGUAUCAUGCUAUCCAUGACCGGACUCUCAAAGGUCGUGGGUAUAUCCUUUGCUGCGUGCCUCUCCUAUAUAGGUGGUUUAUUUCUCACCUUCCGAGCUCCUUCCAUGACAACUCGGAGGAUUGGUCCUACUCACAGCGGAUGAUGGCUCUCUCUCCUAACGAGGUGGUCUGGAUCACUCCCGCCGCUCAGGUUAAGGAGAUUAUUACUGGUUGUGGAGACUUUCUCAAUGUACCUCUUCUUGGUACCCGUGGGGGAAUCAACUACAAUCCGGAGCUUGCUAUGAGACAGUUUGGGUUCCCUAUGAAGACAAAGCCCAUCAAUCUUGCUACAUCUCCGGAGUUCUUCUAUUAUUCGAACGCCCCCACCGGACAAAGGGAGGCUUUCACAAGGGCUUGGUCUAAGGUCCGUAGGAAGAGUGUGAAGCAUUUGGGUGUGAGAUCUGGUAUUGAUCAUGAGGCCUAUACUCAGUGGGUAAUAAACCGAGCUGAAGAGAUUGGUAUGCCAUACCCCGCUAUGAGACAUGUGGCUGCAUCUGCUCCAUCUAUACCUUUACCUCUACCUCCCACUACUCAGGAGAUGUAUCAGGAGCAUCUGGCCAUGGGAAGUCGUGAGAAACAAAUGUGGAAGGCCCGAUACAAUGAGGCUGAGAAUCUAAUCAUGACUUUGGAUGGUAAGGAUGAGCAGAAGACUCAUGAGAACCUGAUGUUGAAGAAGGAAUUGGUUAAGGUCCGAAGGGAACUUGAAGAAAAGGAUGAGCUACUUAUGCGGGACUCCAAGAGAGCUAUAGGACGACGCAACUUCUAUGCUAGAUAUUGCGGUUCGGAUUCGGAGUCUGAGUCUGAGGAUCAUCCCACCACUUCCUAUGCUUGAGAGUUUUAUUUGUUUACAUUUCAAAGUCUUCCCUUGGCUUAGUAUUUCAAAGGGAUUCAUUUUGUAAACGCUUCAUUUUGCUUUGCUUGUUUAGAUAUUGUUUACAAAACUCCUAAUUUGUCUAAAAAUCCUUCGAUGUCCAAAAACAACUUUUGCAUUUGCAUUUGUACAUAUCAUGCAUCAUGUGCAUCAUUCAUCAAGCCACAAAAGGUUUCCAAGUGCUCACUGCCUCCUGGUUCUUCUGCCACAGAGAGAUUGAAAGGUGGCUCGUGCUCGGAAAGUUUACGAAUCAGACAGAAUACACCGGACAAGACUCUACAGAAAGAAGAAUUCGGCAGCCAUGGAAGAAGAGAAUGCUCAGCUCCGUACCGAGUUAGCCACUCUAAGGGAAGAAUUGGCUAAAGCUAAUGAUGUCAUGACUGCUAUGCUAGCCGCUCAAGAACAAUCAGCCACGGCUAUCCCUAUAGCCACAGCUAUACCGGUGACUACAAGCAUGCUCCCAACCGCAUCUGCAGACGCUCGCUUUGCUAUGCCAGCUGGGUUUCCGUAUGGGCUUCCACCGUUCUUCACUCCUAGUACUGCAGCGGGCACUUCGGGCACUGCUAACAAUGUUCUGAUCCCUACAACAAAUGUUGGCUCCAUCAAUGCUACUUUGCCACAAACAACGGCAUCUGUCACCGAGCCUCUUGUGCAUACCCUGCCCCAAGGUGUUAACAUCAACACACAGCACGGAAGCAUCCCCGUGACCAAAACCAUGGAAGAGAUGAUGAAGGAACUUGCUAAAGAACUCCGUCAUGAGAUCAAAGCCAAUCGAGGGAAUGCGGACUCUUUCAAAACUCAAGAUCUCUGUUUGGUGUCAAAGGUGGAUGUCCCUAAGAAGUUCAAAAUCCCGGACUUCGACCGAUACAACGGGCUAACUUGUCCCCAGAACCACAUCAUCAAGUACGUCCGAAAGAUGGGCAAUUACAAAGACAAUGAUUCCCUUAUGAUCCACUGCUUCCAGGAUUAGUUUGAUGGAAGAUGUUGCAGAGUGGUAUACUAGUUUGAGCAAAAAUGACAUCCAUACCUUUGAUGAAUUAGCCGCUGCUUUCAAGAGCCACUAUGGGUUUAACACCCGAUUGAAGCCGAACAGGGAAUUCCUCAGAUCUCUCUCCCAGAAGAAGGAGGAAAGCUUCCGUGAAUACGCACAGAGAUGGAGGGGGGCAGCUGCUCGCAUUACUCCCACUCUUGAUGAAGAAGAAAUGACCCAGACAUUCUUAAAGACCUUGAAAAAGGAUUAUGUUGAGAGAAUGAUCAUUGCUGCCCCGAAUAACUUUUCGGAGAUGGUCACCAUGGGAACCCGUCUGGAGGAAGCCGUCAGGGAAGGAAUCAUUGUGUUCGAGAAAGCUGAAUCCUCUGUGAAUGCAUCAAAGAGGUAUGGUAAUGGACACCACAAGAAGAAAGAAACGGAAGUAGGGAUGGUGUCAGCUGGAGCCGGUCAAUCCAUGGCUACUGUUGCUCCUAUCAAUGCAGCCCAAAUGCCUCCGUCAUACCCAUAUGUGCCGUAUUCUCAGCAUCCUUUCUUUCCGCCAUUUUAUCAUCAGUACCCUCUGCCACCGGGUCAACCUCAAGUACCCGUUAAUGCAAUUGCUCAACAGAUGAAACAACAGUUGCCGGUUCAACAACAACAACAAAAUCAGCAAGCUAGACCUACUUUCCCUCCGAUACCGAUGUUGUAUGCUGAGUUGCUUCCAACUUUACUCCAUAGAGGGCAUUGUACAACCAGACAGGGCAAGCCCCCACCUGAUCCGUUGCCUCCAAGGUUCAGGUCCGAUCUCAAAUGUGAUUUUCAUCAAGGCGCCCUGGGUCAUGAUGUCGAGGGGUGCUAUGCUUUGAAGUAUAUCGUGAAAAAGCUCAUUGAUCAAGGAAAGCUGACUUUUGAGAAUAAUGUCCCACACGUCCUCGACAAUCCUCUUCCAAAUCAUGCCGCUGUGAAUAUGAUCGAAGUAUGUGAGGAAGCUCCUACACUUGUGUUAUACCCUGUUUUUGGACCUAAAAAUAACUGGCCCAAUUUCAUUUCAAACUUUGUCAAUUGUCAAAUUUCAACUGCACAGUUCAAAUUGUCUCUGCCUCGCAGUAUUUUCAAUCACAAUUUUACCUAUGUUUUUCUUGCAUAAAACCUUUUGAAAUGUCUUUACUUGUCUUGUAAGUCAUUCAAAAGUGUCUCUGAAUCAUUACAUUGCUUUUUCUACAGUUUAUUUCAAAAUUUGCAAAAAGUCAUACAGAAGGGUAUUUUGGUCAUUUCCUGCAGUGGGACCCAUUUUCAUCCUUGUGACUGUCUCUGAGUCUUUUCAGAUUGAUUUUUUCAGUAAACCCUGCUAAUUUCAUUUCAAACUUGCAUCUGAGUCAGUGUCGAGUCAUUUUGGCUCUGUUUAGGUCAUUUUUAGCCCUAGGGGCAUUUUGGUCAUUUCACACAAAAUUUUGGCAUGGGGAGGUUACUUUGAAGUACCUCAUUUAAGCCAUUGGUUCGUUUUAGUCCUUUUGUCAAUUUUACUUUGGGUUUCACUUUACGUUUUGUCAGUUUACGUUUUUAUCCAAUUUUAUUUUGUUUUUACCUUUUUGCAUUUUGGUCCCCAAAAGGGUCCAAAAUUGCAUUUCAGUCUAGUUUCUUUUUCAAUUCAUAUUUCAGUCCAGAAUUUUUUUUAUUUUAUUUUACUUUUCAGUCCUUUCUUUGUAAAUUUCAUUUCAGUCCCUUAACUUUUUAAUUUUGCAGAAAAGGCCCAAUGUCAAAUUUGCAUUUUUUUAGUCAAGAUCCAGGUGGCGCAAUUCAAUUGGGUCAGAGGCAAUACAUGUCAGCUAUAAAUGGAGCCAAGUGUAAGAUUCAAUGCCAUUAACUACACGCCAACUCAACAAACACAAUCAAGUUUCUCUCUCCUUUCUGUUAAAGAUCAAAAAUCAGAAAUUCUCAAGAACAUGAAGAACACAAAACCCUAACCGUUUCCAGAAAGUGACAAAAUUCAUCAAGUUUCAGUGUUUUUCGUAUCAAUUCUCAGAGAUUCGUAUGAAUCUUCAUCACUGAAUUGAUCAUUCUCUGCAAUUCCAAACGCGAGCUCGCAUUGAAGCAAGCUCAAGCGUUGAUCACAGAGCGUGAAAAGAAGAGGGAAAGAAGCAAAGUUCUAAACCGGCGAAGAAGAUGAAGAAACGGAAUCAGUGAGAAAAGGAGAAUCACCGAUUUAUUUUCGGUCCAAGAACAAGCAAAGGAAUCAAAAAACCAAGCAAGAACAUUCAAGUUUUCCCAAAGAUUUCCUCCAUUAAAGGUUUCAACCAAAACCUUAGGUAAAACUCAGAAUCUUUUCUCAGAAAUAAUAUCACUGUUAAACCUAAAAAUCACGUAAGCAAAACAGAUCCAAAAUUUCCAGAAUUCAAAGCCAAAACUAUAACCGUAAACACCAAAACCUAGAUCCGUGAGGAUCAAAGUUUUGAAAGCAAGAACAAGUACCAGAAAAGCAGUGAAUAACGAAACGAUGUAGAUUCUUAAAGAUCCAAACGUUUUCGUUCAAAAAGAUCAAAAAAUCAGUUUCAAAACCGUACAAAGUUUUUUCAGAUCUACAUCACUUCAAGCUGUAUUUGAGAAAUUUCUUGAUAGAUUCGUGUUUAGGGUUAAAGGACGAAUCAAAAGAUGCAAAAAUAUUUGAGUUCUGGAAAUUUUUCACCGGAAACUGCUAGGUCUCGCCGGAGAAGAUGAAGUUUCCGGCGGACCUUCAAGGUCUCCGCCGUAGCUUCAUCCUCACCGGCGGUGAGGGUUUAGAGAGAGAUGAGAGAAGAGAGAGGGGUUAGAGAGAGAAAGAAGAAUACGAAAUGAAAAAACCGGCGCGCUAGGGUUUAUAUAGAGUGCUAGACCGGACCGGUUCAAGACCGGUCCAAUCCCAUGCGUUGUGAGCCCUUAGAUCUAGGGUUUGGGAUCUUGGAUCAAUCCAACGAUCCCUGAGCGUUCCUGUGAGAUCCGGAUCCCUUGGCUUUGGGCCUGGGCCUCUUUUCUUUGCUUUUCUACGUUUUUUGCUUUUUUUGUGCUAUUUGCACCGUAUUUCCUUGCUAUCUGCACCUAUUGCUUGUUUACUUCUUUUACAAAAAUUCCUAAAAAAUCCUAGUUGUUUCUUGAUGUAUUUUUGGUAUGUCUAUGGUAUUUUUGCAUGUAAAAAAAAUGUUAAAAUGGCAUGAACCAAUUCCAUGUAUUUUUGUACUUUUGGUAUGCAUUUUGCUAUGUUUUGUUCUUGACAUUUUGAUAGUAUGACAUGGAUAAAUGAUGCCUAAUAUUGUGGUGAAUAUAACUCUGGAAAUGUGCUUUUGUUUGCUAUUUGUGAAUAUGAUUUUAUGGAUUUCUUGUUUUACAAGCAACAAGUGUUUAUUUUUAGGAAUAAAGUAGGAAAUUUCUUCAUGAAUUUGGUAUGGUAUUUUGCUUGCACAUGUCUCCAUUAAUUGCAUGUCAUGGUUUAAAACAAAAUUUCUUUCAAAAUUGCCAUGAUGUGAUAAUUAUGGGUCACUAGCAUCUUUAGGUAUCAUAUCAAAUGUUUUUUUUAGGUUUUUACUACUUUGUUACUUUUUCUUUGCCAUUCUUAUGCACUUCCUUUUGAUUAUUUCCUACUAUUUUGUGCUUUAUAAUUACUAACCAUUUCAUCUCAUGUGCCAUACAUUCCAUAGCAUUCCACCACUCUCUCCACUUUCUUUAGCUUAGCAUUUAUUUUUAUUUUUUUGCAAGUUUUAAUUCAUUUGGUAAUGUAAUUUGUUAUCAUUGGUUUGUAGCUUGGCAAAGGGGCCAUAGAAUGUAUUUAGGCAAUUUUUGUAAUAUGGACUAUGGACACUAUGACGCACCGACACGCACACACUCACCUUAGAUGUAUGCAUAGGAUUGUAUGGUUAAAUAAGCGUUUAGGUUUUAAACACUUAGAGAAAAUCCAUCUUUUUUCAAAAAAAAAAAACAAUUGAACUUCACUUCAAAAAUUUUCAUAAUAAAUAUGAAGUCAACACUUCACUUUUUCCUUUCUUUUUUUUAAGAAAAAUUCAAUUCAUCUUAAUCAUUUAGACUUUCUUUUCAAUCACUAAUCAAACCUCACUUUUUUGCUAAAUCUCAUGCUCAUGAAGCCUCCCAAUCUCCUUCUUCAAAAUCAUUUUCAAAAUUUAAAAUCAAACAAUUAAAACAAAAAAACAACAAGUCUUUUUAGCAAGAACUACGCCGGUUUUGAUCCCGUAAAACGGUACGUAGGCAAGGGACUUUAACCCCUCCAAGCCGAAAUAAAAUUAAAUUCUACUUCUUCUCACCCCCAUUCUUCACUCAAAUAAAACUUCUUUUCCUUCAAUAAGUAGGCAAUAAAAAAUAAAGCGUAGAAAUCAACUUAGGAGAGCGGCUCUUAUGGAGUACCAUAAUCGCUCCGGGUGCCUAACACCUUCCCGUAGCGAAAACGACCCCCGAAUUUAGAAUCUAAGGGUUUUUUCUCGAUUUUGCCCUUCCCAAGAAAAAAUAGAGAAUAUCAACGGUCGAAAGGUUCAAGUCCAAUUAAUGGCUUGGCACCCAAAAACCAUGAUAACAGAAAUGGCGACUUCACUGGGGAUUUUUUUAGCGGGUCACGCCUAGUUUUCCUUAGUUUAUUUACGCUUUGUUUUAUUGCUUACAUAUGUGAAUACUUGUUUACUUUCAUUUGACGUGUGGGGUGAGAAUAUCAAAAGUCCUAUACCCGGGCUGAGUGAACUUAUGUUUAGGUAGAGAUAUAAUCGACAAUUCGAUCCGGGGGUUGCCUCGUGUAUUGGAUUAUGCGAUCAAUCUCACAUAGCUGAGGCAUUUUGAAGGUGAUAUUGUCGGCGUGUGUUGUCAUGCUUAGGCACUUCACUUUCAAUUGUUCGACGAAGCUAUGAACCGUAGUUACCAAACCCAUCCUAGCCUUUUUAGGACGUAGUGCGGUGGCUAAAUUGAGUGUUGUCUCAAACUUUAGUCGUCACGCGAUACUACACUCAAACUAGACCUUCUCACAAAUAAUCAUGGAACGGGUGUCGUCCUGUACUACCAUGAUAUAUGUGAGAGAGGUUGCAGUUUGGGAACUGUGUUAGAACCUUGGUUACUACUAUCCAAAGCCUUAGUUCACCGGACGCCGUGUCCAGCCGUAGCCCUGUUACUUUGAAUCUCAACCCAUCUUGUUCUUUGUAACUAAACAACACAAUCAUGCAUACAUGCAUUCAUGCAUAAACAUUUUUUUCAUGCAUUCAUCGAAGGGUUUAAACAAAUGGAAAUUUUUUGUAAAUAAUCACAGGUAUGAAGAAGACUAAGUGCUACAAGUUCAAGGAAGUGGAUUUGGUUAGUUUGAGAGAGUUGGCACUCAAGGUCAAGAGUCAAACAGGGUUCCGACUCCGGUAUGGGGGAUUGCUUACUUUGCUCCGAACCGAUGUGGACGAGAAGCUAGUGCACACUCUAGUGCAAUUUUAUGAUCCAAGCUUCCGUUGCUUCACCUUCCCGGACUUCCAGUUGGUUCCUACUCUCGAGGCUUACUCCAAUCUAGUGGGUUUACCUAUAGCCGAGAAGACGCCUUUCACCGGUCCCGGGACUUCUCUUACUCCUCUGGUUAUUGCUAAGGAUCUCUACCUCAAGACUUCCGACGUCUCCAACCAUCUUAUUACCAAGUCUCACAUCCGGGGGUUCACUUCAAAGUAUCUUCUUGAUCAAGCUAAUCUCAGUACUACUUGUCAGGAUACGCUCGAGGCUAUUCUUGCUUUGCUUAUCUACGGGCUCAUUCUCUUUCCGAACCUCGACAACUUCGUGGACAUGAAUGCUAUCGAGAUCUUCCAUUCCAAGAACCCGGUUCCUACUUUGCUAGCGGAUACCUACCACGCCAUUCAUGACAGGACUCUCAAGGGCCGUGGGUAUAUUCUUUGCUGCACAUCUCUUUUGUAUAGGUGGUUUAUUUCGCACCUUCCGAGUUCCUUCCAUGAUAACUCGGAGAACUGGUCCUACUCGCAGCGGAUUAUGGCCCUCACUCCUAAUGAGGUCGUCUGGCUCACUCCGGCCGCUCAAGUGAAGGAAAUCAUUAUGGGUUGUGGAGACUUUCUCAAUGUACCUCUUCUUGGUACCCGUGGAGGAAUCAACUACAAUCCCGAGCUUGCUAUGAGACAGUUUGGUUUCCCUAUGAAGUCGAAGCCCAUCAAUCUUGCUACAUCUCCAGAGUUCUUCUUCUACACGAAUGCUCCUACCGGACAAAGGAAAGCUUUCAUGGAUGCUUGGUCCAAGGUUCGAAGGAAGAGUGUGAAGCAUCUAGGUGUGAGAUCCGGUGUUGCUCAUGAGGCCUAUACUCAGUGGGUGAUAGAUCGAGCUGAGGAGAUUGGUAUGCCUUAUCCAGCUAUGAGAUACGUGUCUUCAUCCACUCCGUCUAUGCCUCUACCUCUACUUCCCGCGACUCAGGAUAUGUAUCAGGAGCAUCUAGCUAUGGAGAGUCGUGAGAAGCAAGUGUGGAAAGCUCGGUACAAUCAAGCUGAGAAUCUAAUCAUGACUUUGGAUGGUAGAGAUGAGCAGAAGACUCAUGAGAAUUUAAUGUUGAAGAAAGAACUAGCUAAGGCCCGGAAGGAAUUGGAAGAGAAAGACGAGCUGCUUAUGAGGGAUUCCAAGAGAGCCAAAGGACGACGAGACUUCUUUGCCAGAUACUGUGAUUCAGAUUCCGAGUCCGAUGAUCUUCCGACUACUUCCCAUGCUUGAGGGCUUCAUGUGUUUAUUUCAAAGUCUUUCUGUUAAGAAUGCUAUGUAGUUUUGAUUAUUUGCAAGAUUUCUAAUUUGUUUAAAAAUCCUUCGAUGAAAAAAUAAGUCUUUCGCAUUUGCAUUUGCAUGUCAUGCAUCAUACACAUCAUGCAUUGGUCACAAAGGCUUCCAGGUGCUUACCACCUCCUGGUUUCUCUGCCGCAGUGUGAAAAGUGGCUCGUGCUCAGAGAGUUUACGAACCGGAUAGAAUUGAUCGAACCAGAGAAUACAGAAGAAAGAAAAGGGCUAUGGAAGAAGAGAACACACAGCUUCGUACCGAAUUGGCAUCUCUAAGGGAGGAAUUGGCCAAAGCUCAUGAUGCUAUGACUGCUCUGUUGGCUGCUCAGGAACAACCAGUUCCUGUAGUUUCUACAGCUGCAAAUGUGACUCCUACCGUAACAACUGAUCCCCGCUCUAUCAUGCCAUCCGGGUAUCCUUACGGGCUUCCGCUGUACUAUACUACUAAUACAGGGGCAGGGACCUCUGGUACUGCCAACAAUGGCCCAAUCCCAGGGGCAAAUUUAACUCCUAUUAGUACCGCCUUGACUCAAGCUGCAACAACUGUUACCGAGCCCAUUGUGAAUGCGGUGCCUCUAUUUGUCCAUGCUAAUGCGCACCACGGGAGUAUUGCCACAACCGGAACUAUGGAAGAGAGAAUGGAAGAACUUGCCAAAGAGCUCCGACGGGAAAUUAAGGCCAACAGGGGAAACGGAGACUCCAUUAAAACCCAGGAUCUCUGCUUAGUAUCGAAGGUAGAUGUUCCAAAAAAGUUCAAAGUCCCGGAGUUCGACAAAUAUAACGGGCUGACUUGUCCUCAAAAUCAUAUUGUCAAAUACGUCCGGAAGAUGGGCAACUACAAGGACAAUGAUUCCCUUAUGAUCCAUUACUUCCAAGACAGUCUGAUGGAAGAUGCUGCAGAGUGGUAUACUAGUCUGAGCAAAGAUGAUGUCCAUACCUUUGAUGAGCUAGCCACCGCUUUCAGGAGCCACUACGGGUUUAACACUCGUUUGAAGCCGAAUAGGGAGUUCCUCAGGUCCCUAUCUCAGAAAAAGGAGGAGAGUUUCCGUGAAUAUGCGCAAAGGUGGAGAGGGGCAGCUGCCCGUAUCACUCCUGCUUUAGAUGAAGAAGAAAUGACCCAGACAUUCUUAAAGACCUUGAAGAAAGAUUAUGUUGAGAGGAUGAUCAUCGCCGCCCCGAACAACUUUUCGGAGAUGGUCACUAUGGGAACCCGUCUUGAGGAAGCCGUCAGGGAUGGAAUCAUUGUGUUUGAGAAAGCUGAAUCCUCUGUGAGUGCAUCGAAGAGAUAUGGUAAUGGACACCACAAGAAGAAAGAAACGGAAGUGGGGAUGGUGUCAGCUGGAGCCGGUCAAUCAAUGGCUACUGUUGCUCCUAUCAAUGCAGCUCAAAUGCCUCCGUCAUACCUAUAUAUGCCGUAUUCUCAGCAUCCAUUCUUCCCACCGUUUUAUCAUCAGUACCCUUUGCCACCGGGCCAGCCUCAAGUGCCCGUCAAUGCAAUUGCCCAACAGAUGAAACAACAGUUGCCGGUUCAACAACAACAACAACAACAACAACAGCAGCAGCAGUAUACUAGACCAACUUUUCCUCCUAUACCAAUGUUGUAUGCAGAACUUCUUCCAACUUUACUCCAGAGAGGACACUGCACGACUAGACAGGGUAAGCCCCCACCUGAUCCGUUGCCUCCAAGGUUCAGGUCUGAUCUCAAAUGUGAUUUUCAUCAAGGUGCCUUAGGUCAUGAUGUCGAGGGGUGUUAUGCUUUGAAGUAUAUCGUGAAGAAGCUCAUUGACCAGGGAAAGCUGACUUUUGAGAAUAAUGUUCCACAUGUCCUUGACAAUCCUCUUCCAAAUCAUGCCGCUGUGAAUAUGAUCGAAGUGUGUAAGGAAGCUCCUAGACUUGAUGUCCGCAAUGUUGCCACUCCUCUGGUGCCUCUGCACAUCAAGCUGUGCAAAGCUUCUCUGUUCAGCCAUGAUCAUGCCAAGUGUCUAGGAUGCCUCUGUGAUCCUUUGGGCUGCUAUACUGUUCAAGACGACAUCCAAAGCCUGAUGGAUGAUAAUCUUCUGACUGUCAGUGAUGUUUGCGUGGUCGUGCCAGUUUUUCACGAUCCGCCUGUCAAGAGUGUACCUUUGAAGAAGAAUGCUGAGCCUUUGGUGAUAAGGUUGCCAGGACCAAUUCCUUAUGUUUCGGACAAGGCAGUGCCAUACAAAUACAAUGCUACUAUGAUAGAAAAUGGAGUAGAGGUGCCUCUAGCCUCCUUUGCCACAGUAAGCAAUAUUGCCGAAGGGACUUCUGCAGCGCUAAGAAGCGGGAAGGUUCGUCCGCCAUUAUUUCAGAAGAAGGUAGCUACGCCAAUCACUCCACCAGUUGAAGAAGCAACUCCAACCGUUGUUUCACCCAUUGCUACAGAUGUGAAUCAGCCAGGCAAAUCUAUAGAGGAUUCGAAUUUAGAUGAGAUUCUGAGAAUAAUAAAGAGGAGCGACUACAAGAUCGUUGAUCAGUUGCUGCAGACUCCUUCAAAGAUAUCCGUCUUGUCACUACUCUUGAGCUCUGAGGCUCACAGGAAUACCUUGUUGAAAGUGCUGGAGCAGGCUUAUGUUGACCACGAAGUCUCGGUAGAUUCGGUUUCGGUGGCAUAGGUGGGAAAUAUUACUGCUUGUAACAACCUCUGGUUUAGUGAAGAAGAGUUGCCGGAAGUGGGAAAGGGUCACAAUCUGGCUUUGCACAUCUCGGUGAAUUGUAAAUCAGACAUGAUAUCAAAUGUGUUGGUGGAUACCGGUUCCUCUCUCAAUGUAAUGCCCAAGACAACUCUAGAUCAGUUGAGCUACCGUGGGACCCCUUUGAGAAGAAGUACUUUCUUGGUCAAAGCUUUUGACGGAUCUCGAAAGAAUGUGCUGGGGGAGAUAGACUUGCCGAUAACCAUUGGCCCUGAGAAUUUCUUGGUUACCUUCCAAGUGAUGGACAUUAAUGCAUCCUACAGUUGCCUGCUGGGAAGACCGUGGAUACACGAUGCAGGUGCGGUUACUUCCACCUUACAUCAGAAGUUGAAAUUUAUGAAGAAUGGAAAACUCGUUACAAUCCAUGGUGAAGAAGCAUACUUAGUCAGCCAGUUGUCUUCUUUCUCUUGUAUUGAAGCAGGGUCUGCUGAAGGGACUGCUUUCCAAGGUUUGACCAUUGAAGGUGCAGAGUCUAAGGAAGCUGGGGCUGCUAUGGCUUCAUUGAAGGAUGCUCAGAGAGCCAUCCAAGAAGGUCAGACUGCCGGCUGGGGCAAGAUGAUACAGCUCUGUGAGAACAAGCGUAAAGAAGGUCUCGGGUUCUCCCCGUCAUCAAGGGUUUCCUCGGGAGUCUUCCACAGUGCAGGGUUUGUUAAUGCUAUCUCUGAAGAAGCCACUGGAUCUGGUCUCAGGCCUGUAUUUGUUACACCAGGAGGCAUUGCGACAAAUUGGGAUGCCAUUGACAUUCCUUCAAUCAUGCAUGUUUCUGAGUAAUGUGUCUUGUUGCUUUAGUGCUUUGUUUUCAAAAUAACAACCCUCUCGCUCUGCCCAAAGCGAGAGUGAUAUUUUCUGUAAGGGCAUGCUUGUUUCGGCAUUGCCGUUGAUUAAUAAAAUUUUGUCGUUUCUUCCACGACUACUUUUUUUUAGUGCUUUUUCCCUUGGAAACAAUGGUAAUGCCAGAAAAAACCAAAACGUCUGUAUUUUCUUAAUUUCAAAAAUCUGCAUGAAAAAAAAAAAAAACUACUUUCUAAAAUCAUCCAAUCAUUAUAUGCAGGUUGAACCAUAAUAAACCCUUUGAACACAGUAAUCCUACGGUUCCUCCAAGUUUUGAUUUCCCUGUGUAUGAAGCCGAAGAUGAGGAAGGUGAUGACAUACCGUAUGAGAUCACUCGGUUACUUGAGCAAGAAAAGAAAGCCAUUCAGUCUCACCAAGAAGAGAUUGAGCUUAUCAACAUAGGUACCGAGGAAAACAAGCAAGAAAUCAAGAUUGGUGCUACUCUAGAGGAAGGGGUUAAACAGAAGAUCAUCCAACUCCUCCGGGAAUAUCCGGAUAUUUUUGCAUGGUCCUAUGAAGAUAUGCCAGGUCUAGACCCUAUGAUCGUGGAGCAUCGGAUCCCUACCAAGCCUGAAUGUCCUCCCGUCAGGCAGAAAUUGAGAAGGACUCAUCCCGAUAUGGCUCUCAAGAUUAAGAGUGAAGUUCAAAAGCAGAUUGAUGCGGGUUUCCUCAUGACAGUUGAGUAUCCCGAAUGGGUUGCCAAUAUUGUGCCUGUGCCAAAGAAGGAUGGUAAAGUCCGGAUGUGUGUUGACUUCAGGGACCUGAACAAAGCCAGUCCAAAGGACAACUUUCCAUUACCUCAUAUUGAUGUGCUUGUUGAUAAUACUGCUCAAUCUAAGGUGUUCUCCUUCAUGGACGGUUUUUCCGGUUAUAAUCAGAUCAAAAUGUCUCCUGAAGAUAGAGAAAAGACAUCUUUUAUCACUCCAUGGGGUACUUUCUGCUACAAAGUGAUGCCGUUCGGCCUAAUCAAUGCUGGUGCUACCUACCAAAGGGGAAUGACCACUCUGUUUCAUGACAUGAUUCACAAAGAAGUCGAAGUAUAUGUGGAUGAUAUGAUUGUGAAGUCAGCAGAUGAGGAGCAGCAUGUUGAAUAUUUAACAAAGAUGUUUGAAAGGUUGAGAAAAUACAAGCUGCGAUUGAAUCCCAACAAAUGUACAUUCGGUGUCAGGUCUGGAAAGUUAUUAGGCUUCAUUGUCAGCCAAAAGGGCAUUGAAGUCGAUCCUGAUAAAGUCCGGGCCAUCCGAGAAAUGCCAGCUCCACAGACAGAGAAGCAAGUCAGAGGUUUCUUGGGACGUUUGAAUUACAUCUCCCGAUUCAUAUCUCAUAUGACUGCAACCUGCGGGCCAAUCUUCAAGCUACUCAGAAAGAACCAGCCUAUUGUAUGGAAUGAUGAAUGCCAAGAAGCUUUUGAUAGCAUCAAGAAUUACCUGCUGGAACCACCUAUCCUUGUCCCACCCGUGGAAGGAAGGCCUUUGAUUAUGUAUUUGGCAGUAUUUGAUGAAUCCAUGGGAUGUGUACUUGGUCAACAAGAUGAAACCGGAAAGAAAGAGCAUGCUAUCUACUAUCUAAGCAAGAAGUUCACCGAUUGUGAAACUCGGUAUACAAUGCUUGAAAAGACUUGUUGUGCUCUAGCUUGGGCUGCCAAACGCCUGCGUCAUUAUUUGGUGAAUCAUACGACUUGGCUGAUAUCCAGAAUGGAUCCGAUAAAGUAUAUCUUUGAGAAAGCUGCUGUUACUGGAAAGAUUGCACGCUGGCAGAUGCUUUUGUCUGAAUAUGAUAUUGUGUUCAAAACUCAAAAGGCAAUCAAAGGCAGCAUUCUUGCCGAUCACCUUGCUUAUCAACCUCUUGAUGAUUACCAACCAAUUGAAUUUGAUUUCCCUGAUGAAGAGAUCAUGUAUUUGAAAUCCAAAGACUGCGACGAACCGUUGAUUAAUGAAGGUCCAGAUCCCAAUAGCAAGUGGGGUUUAGUCUUUGAUGGUGCUGUCAAUGCUUAUGGCAAAGGAAUCGGGGCAGUCAUUGUAUCCCCGCAAGGGCAUCACAUUCCCUUUACCGCCCGAAUUCUGUUCGAAUGUACCAACAACAUGGCUGAGUAUGAAGCAUGUAUCUUCGGGAUCGAGGAAGCAAUUGACAUGAGAAUCAAACACCUCGACAUCUAUGGAGAUUCUGCGCUCGUCAUCAAUCAGAUAAAAGGUGAAUGGGAGACCCACCAUGCUAAGUUGAUUCCUUAUCGUGAUUAUGCGAGACGUCUUCUGACAUAUUUUACAAAGGUUGAGCUGCAUCAUAUUCCUCGUGAUGAGAACCAAAUGGCUGAUGCUCUUGCUACUCUAUCCUCCAUGUUUCGAGUAAACCAUUGGAAUGAUGUGCCAAUAAUCAAAGUGCAACGCCUUGAAAGACCUUCACAUGUGUUUGCUAUUGGGGAUGUGAUCGAUCAGGCUGGUGAAAAUGUGGUUGACUAUAGACCCUGGUACUAUGACAUCAAGCAGUUCUUGCUGAGCCGUGAGUAUCCGCCAGGUGCUUCCAAACAAGACAAGAAGACCUUGAGAAGAUUGGCCGGUAGAUUCCUGUUAGAUGGAGAUAUUCUGUACAAGAGGAACUAUGACAUGGUACUGUUGAGGUGUGUUGAUGAACAUGAAGCAGAGCAGUUAAUGCAUGAUGUACAUGACGGUACCUUCGGGACCCAUGCUACAGGGCAUACUAUGUCAAGAAAGUUGCUACGGGCAGGUUACUACUGGAUGACUAUGGAGCAUGAUUGCUACCAGUACGCCAGAAAAUGCCACAAAUGUCAAAUCUAUGCUGAUAAGAUUCAUGUGCCUCCGCAUGCUCUCAAUGUUAUGUCAUCCCCAUGGCCGUUCUCAAUGUGGGGCAUCGACAUGAUUGGAAGAAUUGAACCGAAGGCUUCAAAUGGUCAUCGUUUCAUCUUAGUGGCAAUUGACUACUUUACCAAAUGGGUUGAAGCAGCAUCUUAUACCAAUGUGACCAAGCAAGUGGUAGCUAAGUUCAUCAAGAACAACAUCAUCUGUCGAUAUGGUGUUCCCAGCAAGAUUAUUACCGACAAUGGUACCAACCUGAACAACAAUGUGGUGCAAGCUCUUUGUGAAGAAUUCAAAAUUGAGCAUCAUAACUCUUCUCCCUAUAGACCUCAGAUGAAUGGUGCAGUUGAGGCCGCCAAUAAGAAUAUCAAGAGAAUCAUCCAGAAGAUGGUAACCACUUACAAGGACUGGCAUGAGAUGUUACCCUAUGCUCUGCAUGGCUACCGUACUACUGUGCGCAGUUCAACCGGGGCAACCCCUUUCUCUCUUGUAUAUGGUAUGGAAGCAGUUCUUCCUUUGGAAGUGGAGAUCCCAUCUCUCCGUGUGAUUAUGGAAGCAAAGUUAUCUGAGGCUGAAUGGUGCCAAAGCCCGGUAUGAUCAGUUGAAUUUGAUUGAGGAAAAACGUAUGGAUGCCAUGGCUCGUGGACAGUCAUAUCAAGCAAGAAUGAAGACUGCCUUUGACAAGAAAGUCCAUCCUCGGGAAUUCAAGGUAGAGGAACUUGUAUUGAAAAGGAGGAUAAGCCAGCAACCCGACCCAAGGGGCAAGUGGACGCCUAACUAUGAAGGUCCUUAUGUUGUCAAGAAGGCCUUCUCCGGUGGUGCUUUAAUCCUUACACACAUGGAUGGUGUAGAACUUCCAAAUCCAGUGAAUGCCGAUAUAGUCAAGAAAUACUUUGCCUAGAAAUAUGAAAAGAACAGCGUGGUAGGUCGAAAACCCGAAAGGGCGGCCUAGGCAAAAAUGCGCUUCCCGGUGGAUCGAAAACCCGAAAGGGCGGUCCAGGCAAAAAUAAGGGACAAAAAAAAACAAAUAUGAAAAGCUCGCUGAGAUUGUACGCAACUCAGGCAAGAAUGAGCGUCUCGAUGAGCCGAAAACCCGGAAGGGCGGUUCAUGCAAAAAUGAGAUUGAAACAAAAGGCAAGUAACUAUAUCUGGCCAACCACCGUCCCCCUUGGGGCAUCUGCAGCUGUUAAUGACCAUUUUCAUCAAAAGCUCUUAUGCUUGCGAAUUCAAAGUUUCUAGGAGAUGUCAUGAUUACUGUGUUCAAUGUACCACCAACCAAUAAAAUUACCAUUUUCCAAGCUUUGUAAAUCCGUGGAGUCACGCCUUCGGCUGACCACCACUCUUAUACAUCUAUUUGAGCUUGUGCUUUUGUUUGAAACUCUGCUUUCUUUUUACUUUCAAAGCUAUAUACAAAACAUUUUCUUUCUAUUUUGAUAAUGAUAAUGCUCGAAACAAACAUUUUGAAAAUUGAAAAAGUUUUUUUGAAAAGCAAACCUGAGCAACAGGGUACAUUCAAAUGAGACAUGCAUGAGCGAGAGUAUGUUGAUGUCUAUUUUAAUAUGUGUUACAAGCAGGUUCUCCUCCAGGAUAGUCUUUGGUCAAUGGCAAGAAUGAAAAAACAGAAUGAAAAUGCAUGAAAAUGAAAAGGCUCGCUAAGUUGAAAACCCGGAAGGGCGGCUUAGGCAAGAAUGAGCACCCCGCUGGAUUGAAAACCCGAAAGGGCAGUUCAGGCAAAAAUGGGGCAUUGAAAAGAAUUUAUUUCCCCGGUGGAUCGAAAACCCGAAAGGGCGAUCCAGGCAAAAAUGGGAUGCAAAAAAUGAAUGAAUGAAAUUGAGAAAAUAACAUGCAAAAAGCAUUGACCAUAGAUGCGACGUCCACGAUACAUCCGGCAUUAUUCCCAGUAGAGUCUUCCGAGAUUCUAUCCCCAGCGAGUCGCAUACCUACCUGCCCUCAGCCAUGGUUCCAAUACGUCUCCCAACGACGUCAUCUCCAAAGAGGAUUUCCAAGAAUGUGUAAUAUAGCACGAGCCACUACGUGCCCAAUACUCUGAUGUCUUGUCUUCCCCGUGAAGUCGUGCCUACAAAAUGCCAACAGUCAUGCAUUACAAGCAUUCAUACAUGCAUAAUCAUGCAUAUUACGUGCCCAUGCAUUUAAUGAAACUGUUAUAUCAUCCGUGCAUACUGCAUUUCCAAUGUCAACAUCAGUCUCAAUUCGAUACUCAUGUCAGGUUCUCUGUCAAAACCUUGUGAGCCAAUAAUAUCGGUCAAUUUCUGCCUUUCAAUUCGAAUCGACGUUAAGUCAAUCUCAAUCUAUAUUUUGUCAAAACAAACCAAUCCCCCGUGAAUAUGUUUCUGUUUGGUCAAGUGGCUAGCUCAAUCCAAGAGCAGCUUGUACCUGUCUAUCUGUUUCUGUCCGGUGGAGUAACCAGUUCGCAUCCAAGAACAAGCUCACACCUGUUUAUUUGCCUUUGCUUUCGGUCGAGUGACCAGUUCGAAUCCAAGAACAACUCGUACCUAUCUACUUUUCCAUGACCCCGGUCGAGUUACCAGUUCGAAUCCAAGAACAGCUCGUACCUGUCUAUGUGUCUAUGAUUUUGGGUCAAGUGGCUAGUUCAAGUCCAAGAACAGCUUGUACCCGUCUAUCUGUUUCCAUUCGCUCAAGUGGCUAGCUCGAUCCAAGAGCAGCUUGCGCCUGUCUAUUUUGUAUUUGUCUCCGGUGGAGUAACCAGUUCGCAUCCAAGAACAAGCUCGCACCUGUCUAUUUGCCUUGCUUUCAGUCGAGUAACUAGUUCGAAUCCCUAAGAACAGCUCGUACCUGCCAAUUUUACAUGUUUUCAGUCGAGUCACCAGUUCGAAUCCGUAAGAACAACUCGUACUUGUCAAUUUUCUCUUUUUUUCCAGUCGGGUCACCAGUUCGAAUCCAUAAGAACAACUCGCACUUUCCAAUAUCCCCAAGUGAGUUACCAGUUCGAAUCCAUAAGAACAACUCAUGUUUGUCCAGUAACCUCUAUCCCCUGUGAAGUGACCAGUUCAAAUCCAUAAGAACAACUCGCAGUUGUCUGUUUGUUUCAUUCCCGGUCAAGUGGCUAGUUUGAAUCCAAGAACAGCUUGUACCUGUCCAACUUGUUUCUAGUUUCCCGUUACUCUGCUAUUCACUAUCUUUGUCAAUGUCUACCAAUCCCGCAAUGGAUACGACAUAUUUUGUUAAUUCUAAUCCCCAUGAGGUCUUGCAUUCAUAAUCCAAAUGAUGCAUGGCAUGCAUAUUAUUUGAAAAUGGGUAGGCGUAUUUUUACGUCCAAACACAGUGCAAAUGCUAAUAUUUAAGUAUCUUCGUCCUGUCAAGCCAAAGACUCCGUCUCUUGACUCUCCAGACAAAGAAACUUAAAUAGGGGCAGCUGUUAUACCCUGUUUUUGGACCUAAAAAUACUGGGCCCAAUUUCAUUUCAAACUUUGUUAAUUGUCAAAUUUCAACUGCACAGUUCAAAUUGUCUCUGCCUCGCAGUAUUUUCAAUCACAAUUUUACCUAUGUUUUUCUUGCAUAAAACCUUUUGAAAUGUCUUUACUUGUCUUGUAAGUCAUUCAAAAGUGUCUCUGAAUCAUUACAUUGCUUUUUCUACAGUUUAUUUCAAAAUUUGCAAAAAGUCAUACAGAAGGGUAUUUUGGUCAUUUCCUGCAGUGGGACCCAUUUUCAUCCUUGUGACUGUCUCUGAGUCUUUUCAGAUUGAUUUUUUCAGUAAACCCUGCUAAUUUCAUUUCAAACUUGCAUCUGAGUCAGUGUCGAGUCAUUUUGGCUCUGUUUAGGUCAUUUUUAGCCCUAGGGGCAUUUUGGUCAUUUCACACAAAAUUUUGGCAUGGGGAGGUUACUUUGAAGUACCUCAUUUAAGCCAUUGGUUCGUUUUAGUCCUUUUGUCAAUUUUACUUUGGGUUUCACUUUACGUUUUGUCAGUUUACGUUUUUAUCCAAUUUUAUUUUGUUUUUACCUUUUUGUCAUUUUGGUUCCCAAAAGGGUCCAAAAUUGCAUUUCAGUCUAGUUUCUUUUUCAAUUCAUAUUUCAGUCCAGAAUUUUUUUUUAUUUUAUUUUACUUUUCAGUCCUUUCUUUGUAAAUUUCAUUUCAGUCCCUUAACUUUUUAAUUUUGCAGAAAAGGCCCAAUGUCAAAUUUGCAUUUUUUUAGUCAAGAUCCAGGUGGCGCAAUUCAAUUGGGUCAGAGGCAAUACAUGUCAGCUAUAAAUGGAGCCAAGUGUAAGAUUCAAUGCCAUUAACUACACGCCAACUCAACAAACACAAUCAAGUUUCUCUCUCCUUUCUGUUAAAGAUCAAAAAUCAGAAAUUCUCAAGAACAUGAAGAACACAAAACCCUAACCGUUUCCAGAAAGUGACAAAAUUCAUCAAGUUUCAGUGUUUUUCGUAUCAAUUCUCAGAGAUUCGUAUGAAUCUUCAUCACUGAAUUGAUCAUUCUCUGCAAUUCCAAACGCGAGCUCGCAUUGAAGCAAGCUCAAGCGUUGAUCACAGAGCGUGAAAAGAAGAGGGAAAGAAGCAAAGUUCUAAACCGGCGAAGAAGAUGAAGAAACGGAAUCAGUGAGAAAAGGAGAAUCACCGAUUUAUUUUCGGUCCAAGAACAAGCAAAGGAAUCAAAAAACCAGCAAGAACAUUCAAGUUUUCCCAAAGAUUUCCUCCAUUAAAGGUUUCAACCAAAACCUUAGGUAAAACUCAGAAUCUUUUCUCAGAAAUAAUAUCACUGUUAAACCUAAAAAUCACGUAAGCAAAACAGAUCCAAAAUUUCCAGAAUUCAAAGCCAAAACUAUAACCGUAAACACCAAAACCUAGAUCCGUGAGGAUCAAAGUUUUGAAAGCAAGAACAAGUACCAGAAAAGCAGUGAAUAACGAAACGAUGUAGAUUCUUAAAGAUCCAAACGUUUUCGUUCAAAAAGAUCAAAAAAUCAGUUUCAAAACCGUACAAAGUUUUUUCAGAUCUACAUCACUUCAAGCUGUAUUUGAGAAAUUUCUUGAUAGAUUCGUGUUUAGGGUUAAAGGACGAAUCAAAAGAUGCAAAAAUAUUUGAGUUCUGGAAAUUUUUCACCGGAAACUGCUAGGUCUCGCCGGAGAAGAUGAAGUUUCCGGCGGACCUUCAAGGUCUCCGCCGUAGCUUCAUCCUCACCGGCGGUGAGGGUUUAGAGAGAGAUGAGAGAAGAGAGAGGGGUUAGAGAGAGAAAGAAGAAUACGAAAUGAAAAAACCGGCGCGCUAGGGUUUAUAUAGAGUGCUAGACCGGACCGGUUCAAGACCGGUCCAAUCCCAUGCGUUGUGAGCCCUUAGAUCUAGGGUUUGGGAUCUUGGAUCAAUCCAACGAUCCCUGAGCGUUCCUGUGAGAUCCGGAUCCCUUGGCUUUGGGCCUGGGCCUCUUUUCUUUGCUUUUCUACGUUUUUGCUUUUUUUGUGCUAUUUGCACCGUAUUUCCUUGCUAUCUGCACCUAUUGCUUGUUUACUUCUUUUACAAAAAUUCCUAAAAAAUCCUAGUUGUUUCUUGAUGUAUUUUUGGUAUGUCUAUGGUAUUUUUGCAUGUAAAAAAAAUGUUAAAAUGGCAUGAACCAAUUCCAUGUAUUUUUGUACUUUUGGUAUGCAUUUUGCUAUGUUUUGUUCUUGACAUUUUGAUAGUAUGACAUGGAUAAAUGAUGCCUAAUAUUGUGGUGAAUAUAACUCUGGAAAUGUGCUUUUGUUUGCUAUUUGUGAAUAUGAUUUUAUGGAUUUCUUGUUUUACAAGCAACAAGUGUUUAUUUUUAGGAAUAAAGUAGGAAAUUUCUUCAUGAAUUUGGUAUGGUAUUUUGCUUGCACAUGUCUCCAUUAAUUGCAUGUCAUGGUUUAAAACAAAAUUUCUUUCAAAAUUGCCAUGAUGUGAUAAUUAUGGGUCACUAGCAUCUUUAGGUAUCAUAUCAAAUGUUUUUUUUAGGUUUUUACUACUUUGUUACUUUUUCUUUGCCAUUCUUAUGCACUUCCUUUUGAUUAUUUCCUACUAUUUUGUGCUUUAUAAUUACUAACCAUUUCAUCUCAUGUGCCAUACAUUCCAUAGCAUUCCACCACUCUCUCCACUUUCUUUAGCUUAGCAUUUAUUUUUAUUUUUUUGCAAGUUUUAAUUCAUUUGGUAAUGUAAUUUGUUAUCAUUGGUUUGUAGCUUGGCAAAGGGGCCAUAGAAUGUAUUUAGGCAAUUUUUGUAAUAUGGACUAUGGACACUAUGACGCACCGACACGCACACACUCACCUUAGAUGUAUGCAUAGGAUUGUAUGGUUAAAUAAGCGUUUAGGUUUUAAACACUUAGAGAAAAUCCAUCUUUUUUCAAAAAAAAAAAACAAUUGAACUUCACUUCAAAAAUUUUCAUAAUAAAUAUGAAGUCAACACUUCACUUUUUCCUUUCUUUUUUUUAAGAAAAAUUCAAUUCAUCUUAAUCAUUUAGACUUUCUUUUCAAUCACUAAUCAAACCUCACUUUUUUGCUAAAUCUCAUGCUCAUGAAGCCUCCCAAUCUCCUUCUUCAAAAUCAUUUUCAAAAUUUAAAAUCAAACAAUUAAAACAAAAAAACAACAAGUCUUUUUAGCAAGAACUACGCCGGUUUUGAUCCCGUAAAACGGUACGUAGGCAAGGGACUUUAACCCCUCCAAGCCGAAAUAAAAUUAAAUUCUACUUCUUCUCACCCCCAUUCUUCACUCAAAUAAAACUUCUUUUCCUUCAAUAAGUAGGCAAUAAAAAAUAAAGCGUAGAAAUCAACUUAGGAGAGCGGCUCUUAUGGAGUACCAUAAUCGCUCCGGGUGCCUAACACCUUCCCGUAGCGAAAACGACCCCCGAAUUUAGAAUCUAAGGGUUUUUUCUCGAUUUUGCCCUUCCCAAGAAAAAAUAGAGAAUAUCAACGGUCGAAAGGUUCAAGUCCAAUUAAUGGCUUGGCACCCAAAAACCAUGAUAACAACUUGAUGUCCGUAACGUCGCAACUCCCCUGGUGCCUCUACACAUCAAGCUGUGCAAAGCUUCUCUGUUCAGCCAUGAUCAUGCCAAGUGCCUAGGAUGCCUUCGUAAUGCUUUGAGUUGUUAUACUGUUCAAGAUGACAUCCAAAGCUUGAUGAAUGAUAAUUUUUUGACUGUUAGUGAUGUAUGCGUGAUUGUGCCAGUUUUUCACGAUCCGCCUGUCAAGAGUAUGCCUUUGAAGAAAAAUGCUGAGCCUUUGGUGAUAAGGUUGCCCGGACCGGUACCGUAUACUUCAGAUAGGGCUAUCCCGUAAAAAUAUAAUGCUACCAUAAUUGAAAACGGAGUAGAAGUGCCUCUGGUGUCCUUGGCUGUGGUGAACAAUACCGCCGAAGGAACUUCAGCAGCCCUAAGAAGCGGAAGAGUCCGUCCACCGUUGUUUCAAAAGAAGGCAGCUACGCCUACCGUGCCACCCAUUGACAAACCAACCCCGACUGAUGUUUCUCCAGUUAACAGAGACGCGAGCCAACCAGGCCGGUCUAUAGAGGAUUCUAAUCUGGACGAGAUUUUGAGGUUGAUCAAAAGAAGUGAUUAUAAGAUUGUAGAUCAGCUGCUGCAAACUCCGUCGAAGAUAUCCAUUUUGUCUCUACUCCUGAGUUCCGCUGCCCACAGAGAUACCCUUUUGAAAGUAUUGGAGCAGGCUUAUGUGGAUCAUGAAGUAACUGUGGAUCACUUUGGUAGCAUAGUGGGGAACAUUACCGCCUGCAGCAAUCUGUGGUUCAGUGAAGAUGAAUUGCCCGAAGCAGGAAAGCAUCAUAAUCUGGCCUUGCAUAUCUCCGUAAAUUGCAAGUCCGACAUGAUCUCAAAUGUGUUAGUAGACACUGGCUCAUCUUUGAACGUGAUCGCCCAAGUCAACGUUGGAUCAGCUGGAGUUACCGGGGAACUCCCUUGAGGAGGAGCACUUUUCUGGUCAAAGCCCUUGAUGGAACCCGCAAGAGCGUUCUCGGGGAGAUAGACUUGCCAAUAACUAUUGGCCCCGAAACCUUUCUAAUCACGUUUCAGGUCAUGGAUAUUAAUGCCUCUUACAGCUGUCUCUUGGGGAGACCAUGGAUACACGACGCGGGAGCAGUGACCUCUACUUUGCACCAAAAGUUGAAAUUUGCAAAAAGUGGAAAGCUUGUUACCAUUCAUGGAGAGGAAGCAUACCUGGUUAGCCAGCUAUCAUCUUUCUCUUGCAUAGAGGCAGGGUCUGCAGAGGGGACCGCUUUUCAAGGAUUAACUGUCGAAGGUACGGAGCCUAAGGAGGGAUGGAACUGCCAUGGCUUCUUUGAAGGAUGCACAGAGAGCCGUCCAAGAGGGUCAAGCUGCCGGCUGGGGCAAGUUAAUACAGCUUCGUGAGAACAAGCAUAAGGAAGGUCUUGGCUUCUCCCCAACUUCAGGAAUUUCCACCGGGGCAUUCUAUAGUGCUGGGUUUGUCAACGCAAUCACAGAAGAAGCAACCGGAUUUGACCCGAGGCCUGUAUUUGUUAUACCAGGAGGCAUUGCGAGAGAUUGGGAUGCCAUUGACAUUCCCUCAAUCAUGCAUGUUUCUGAGUAAUAUACCUUGUUGCUUAAGUAUCUUGUUUUUUCAAAAUAACAAUCCUCUCGCUCUGCCCAAAGCGAGAGUGAUAUUUUCUGUAAGGGCAUGUUUGUUUCGGCAUUGCCGUUGAUUAAUAAAAAAUUUGUCGUUUCUUCCACGACUGCUUUUUUAGUGCUUUUUCCCUUGGAAAUAAUGGUAAUGCCAGAAAAAACCAAAACAUCUGUAUUUUCUUAUUAAUUUCAAAAAUCUGCAUAAAAAAACCUCCUUCUAAAAUCAUCCAAUCAUUUUACGCAGAUUGAACUAUAAUAAACCCGUUGGGCACGGUAAUCCUGCAUUCCCUCCGAAUUUUGAGUUCCCAGUGUAUGAAGCCGAAGAUGAGGAAGGUGAUGACAUACCAUAUGAGAUCACUCGGCUACUUGAGCAAGAAAAGAAAGCCAUUCAGCCUCACCAGGAAGAGAUUGAGCUCAUCAACAUAGGUACCGAGGAGAACAAGCGAGAAAUCAAGAUCGGUACUAUUCUAGAGGAAGGGGUUAAAAAGAAGAUCAUCCAACUCCUCUGGGAAUAUCCGGAUAUUUUUGCAUGGUCGUAUGAAGAUAUGCCAGGUCUAGAUCCUAUGAUUGUGGAGCAUCGGAUCCCCACCAAGCCUGAAUGUCCUCCCGUCAGGCAGAAAUUGAGAAGGACUCAUCCAGAUAUGGCUCUCAAGAUUAAGAGCGAGGUUCAAAAACAGAUUGAUGCGGGUUUCCUCAUGACAGUUGAGUACCCUGAAUGGGUUGCCAAUAUUGUACCUGUGCCAAAGAAGGAUGGUAAAGUCCGGAUGUGUGUUGACUUCAGAGACCUGAACAAAGCCAGUCCAAAAGACAACUUUCCAUUACCUCAUAUUGAUGUGCUUGUUGAUAAUACUGCUCAGUCUAAGGUGUUCUCCUUCAUGGAUGGUUUCUCCGGUUACAAUCAGAUCAAAAUGUCUCCUGAAGAUAGAGAAAAGACGUCUUUUAUCACUCCAUGGGGUACUUUCUGCUACAAAGUGAUGCUGUUCGGCCUAAUAAAUGCUGGUGCUACCUACCAAAGAGGAAUGACUACUCUGUUUCAUGACAUGAUUCACAAAGAAGUCGAAGUAUAUGUGGAUGAUAUGAUUGUGAAGUCAACAGAUGAGGAGCAACAUGUUGAGUAUUUGACAAAGAUGUUUGAAAGGUUGAGAAAAUACAAGCUUCGAUUGAAUCCCAACAAAUGUACAUUCGGCGUCAGAUCCGGGAAGUUAUUAGGCUUCAUUGUCAGCCAAAAGGGCAUUGAAGUCGAUCCUGAUAAAGUCCGGGCCAUCCGAGAAAUGCCAGCUCCACAGACCGAGAAGCAAGUCAGAGGUUUCCUCGGGCGUUUGAAUUACAUCUCCCGAUUUAUAUCUCACAUGACCGCAACCUGCGGGCCGAUCUUCAAGCUACUCAGAAAGAAUCAGCCUAUUGUAUGGAAUGAUGAAUGCCAAGAAGCUUUUGAUAGCAUCAAGAAUUACCUGCUGGAACCACCUAUCCUUGUCCCACCCGUGGAAGGAAGGCCUUUGAUUAUGUAUUUGGCAGUAUUUGAUGAAUCCAUGGGAUGCGUACUUGGUCAACAGGAUGAGACUGGAAAGAAAGAACAUGCUAUCUACUAUCUAAGCAAGAAGUUCACCGAUUGUGAAACUCGGUAUACAAUGCUUGAGAAGACUUGUUGUGCUUUGGCCUGGGCCGCUAAACGCCUGCGUCAUUAUUUGGUGAGUCAUACAACUUGGUUGAUAUCCAGAAUGGAUCCGAUAAAGUAUAUCUUUGAGAAAGCUGCUGUUACUGGGAAGAUUGCACGCUGGCAGAUGCUUUUGUCUGAAUAUGAUAUUGUGUUCAAAACUCAAAAGGCAAUCAAAGGUAGCAUUCUUGCCGAUCAUCUUGCUUACCAACCUCUUGAUGAUUAUCAACCAAUUGAGUUCGAUUUCCCCGAUGAAGAGAUCAUGUAUUUAAAAUCAAAAGACUGCGAAGAACCGUUGAUUGAUGAAGGUCCAGAUCCCAAUAGCAAGUGGGGUUUAGUCUUUGAUGGUGCUGUCAAUGCUUAUGGUAAAGGAAUUGGGGGCAGUCAUUGUAUCCCCGCAGGGGCAUCACAUCCCUUUUACCGCCCGAAUUUUGUUCGAAUGUACAAACAAUAUGGCUGAGUAUGAAGCAUGUAUCUUUGGGAUCGAGGAAGCAAUUGACAUGAGAAUCAAACACCUCGACAUCUAUGGAGAUUCCGCGCUCGUCAUCAAUCAGAUAAAGGGUGAAUGGGAGACCCAUCAUGCUAAGUUGAUUCCUUAUCGUGAUUAUGCGAGACGUUUGCUAACAUAUUUUACAAAGGUUGAGCUGCACCAUAUUCCUCGUAAUGAGAACCAAAUGGCUGAUGCUCUUGCUACUCUAUCCUCCAUGUUUCGAGUAAACCAUUGGAAUGAUGUGCCAAUAAUCAAAGUGCAACGCCUUGAAAGACCUUCACAUGUGUUUGCUAUUGGGGAUGUGAUCGAUCAGGCUGGUGAAAAUGUGGUUGACUAUAAACCCUGGUACUACGACAUCAAGCAGUUCUUGCUGAGCCGUGAGUAUCAGCCGGGUGCUUCCAAACAAGAUAAGAAGACCCUGAGAAGAUUGGCCAGUAGAUUCCUGUUAGAUGGAGAUAUUAUGUACAAGAGAAACUAUGACAUGGUAUUGUUAAGAUGUGUUGAUGAACAUGAAGCGGAGCAGUUAAUGCAUGAUGUACAUGACGGUACCUUCGGGACCCAUGCUACAGGGCAUACUAUGUCAAGGAAGUUGUUACGAGCAGGUUACUACUGGAUGGCCAUGGAGCAUGAUUGCUACCAGCACGCCAGAAAGUGCCACAAAUGUCAAAUCUAUGCUGAUAAGAUUCAUGUGCCUCCGCACGCUCUCAAUGUUAUUUCAUCCCCAUAGCCGUUCUCAAUGUGGGGCAUCGACAUGAUUGGAAGAAUUGAACCGAAGGCUUCAAAUGGUCAUCGUUUCAUCUUAGUGGCAAUUGACUACUUCACCAAGUGGGUUGAAGCAGCAUCUUAUACCAAUGUGACCAAGCAAGUGGUAGCUAAGUUCAUCAAGAACAACAUCAUUUGUCGAUAUGGUGUUCCCAGCAAGAUCAUUACCGACAAUGGUACAAACCUGAACAACAAUGUGGUGCAAGCUCUUUGUGAAGAAUUCAAAAUUGAGCAUCAUAACUCUUCUCCUUAUAGACCUCAGAUGAAUGGUGCAGUUGAGGCCGCCAACAAGAAUAUCAAGAGAAUUGUCCAGAAGAUGGUAACCACUUACAAGGACUGGCAUGAGAUGCUACCCUAUGCUCUGCAUGGCUACCGUACUACAGUGCGCAGUUCAACCGAGGCAACCCCUUUCUCUCUUGUAUAUGGUAUGGAAGCAGUUCUUCCUUUGGAAGUGGAGAUCUCAUCUCUCCGUGUGAUCAUGGAAGCAAAGUUAUCUGAGGCUGAAUGGUGCCAGAGCCGGUAUGAUCAGUUGAAUUUGAUUGAGGAAAAACGUAUGGAUACCAUGGCUCGUGGACAGUCAUAUCAAGCAAGAAUGAAGACUGCUUUUGACAAGAAAGUCCAUCCUCGAGAAUUCAAGGUAGGGGAACUUGUAUUGAAAAGGAGGGUAAGCCAACAACCCGAUCCAAGGGGCAAGUGGACGCCUAACUAUGAAGGUCCUUAUGUUGUCAAGAAGGCCUUCUCCGGUGGUGCUUUAAUCCUUACACACAUGGAUGGUGUAGAACUUCCAAAUCCUGUGAAUGCUGAUAUAGUCAAGAAAUACUUUGCCUAGACAUGUGAAAAGAACAGCGUGGUAGGUCGAAAACCCGAAAGGGCGGCCUAGGCAAAAAUGCGCUUCCCGGUGGAUCGAAAACCCGAAAGGGCGGUCCAGGCAAAAAUAAAGGGACGAAAAAAAAUAAAUAAUAUAUAUAAAGACUCGCUGAGAUUGUACACAACUCAGGCAAGAAUGAGCGUCUCGAUGAACCGAAAACCCGGAAGGGCGGUUCAUGCAAAAAUGAGAUUGAAACAAAAGGCAAGUAACUAUAUCUGGCCAACCACCGUCUCCCUUGGGGCAUCUGCAGCUGUUAAUGACUAUCUUCAUCAAAAGCUCCUACGCUUGCGAAUUCAAAGUCUCUAGGAAAUGUAAUGAUUACUGUGUUCAAUGUACCACCAACCAAUAAAAUUACCAUUUUCCAAGCUUUGUAAAUCCGUGGAGUCACGCCUUCGGCUGACCACCACUCUUAUACAUCAAUUUGAGCCUGUGCUUUUGUUUGAAACUCUGCUUUCUUUUUACUUUCAAAGUUAUGUACAAAAAACAUUUUCCUUCUAUUUUUAAUAAUGACAAAUGCUCGAAACAAGCAUCUUGAAAAUUGAAAAAGUUUUUUGAAAAGCAAACCUGAGCAACAGGGUACAUUCAAACGAGACAUGCAUGAGCUAGUGUGUGUUGGUGUCUAUUUCAAUAUAUGUUACAAGCAGGUUCUCCUCCAGGAUAGUCUGUGGUCAAUGGCAAGAAUGAAAAAACAGAAUGAAAAUGCAUGAAAAUGAAUAGGCUCGCUAAGUUGAAAACCCGGAAGGGCGGCUUAGGCAAAAAUGAGCACCCCGCUGGAUUGACAACCCGAAAGGGCAGUUCAGGCAAAAAUGGGGCAUUAAAAAAGAAUUUAAUUCCCCGAUGGAUCGAAAACCCGAAAGGGCGAUCCAGGCAAAAAUGGGAUACAAAAAAAAAAUGAAUGAAAAUUGAGAAAAUAACAUGCAAAAAGCAUUGACCACAGAUGCGACGUCCACGAUACAUCCAGGCAUUAUUCCCAGUAGAGUCUCCCAAGAUUCUAUCCCCAGCAAGUUGCAUAACUACCGGCCCUCAGCCUUGGUCCCGAUACGUCUCCCAACGACGUCAUCUCCAAAGAGGAUUUUCAGGAAUGUGUAAUAUAGCACGAGCCACUACGUGCCCAAUACUCCAAUGUCUUGUCUGUCUCUGCGAAACUUUGUCUACAAAUCGCCAACAGUCAUGCAUUACAAGCAUUCAUACAUACAUAAUCAUGCAUAUUACGUGCCCAUGCAUUUAAUGAAAUUGUUAUAUCAUUCAUGCAUGUUGCAUUUCCAAUGUCAACAUUAGUCUCAAUUCAAUACUCAUGUCGGGUUCUCUGUCAAAACCUUGUGAGCCAAUAAUAUUGGUCAAUUUCUACCUUUCAAAUCAAAUCGACGUCAAGUCAAUUUCAACCUAUAUUUUGUCAAAAAACUAAUCCCCUGUGAAUUUGUUUCUGUUCGGUCAAGUGGCUAGUUCAAGUCCAAGAACAGCUUGUACCUAUCAAUUUGCUUAUGUUAUCGGUCGAGUGCCCAGCUCAAUCCAAGAGCAGCUUGUACCUGUCAAUAUGUUUCUGUUUGGUCAAGUUACCAAUUCGCAUCCAAGAACGACUUGUACCCGUUUACUUUUCAAUGUUAUCGGUCGAGUUACCAGUUCGAAUCCAAGAACGGCUCGUACCUGUCUAUGUGGCUAUGAUUUUGGUCAAGUGACUAGUUCAAGUCCAAGAACAGCUUGUACCCGUCUAUCUGUUUCUGUUCGCUCAAGUGGCUAGCUCGAUCCAAGAGCAGCUUGCGCCUGUCUAUUUUGUCUUUGUCUCCGGUGGAGUAACCAGUUCGCAUCCAAGAAUAAGCUCGCACCUGUCUAUUUGCCUUGCUUUCAGUCGAGUGACUAGUUCGAAUCAAGAACAACUCGUACUUGUCUAUUUGCCUUUGCUUUCAGUCGAGUGACCAGUUCGAAUCAAGAACAAUUCGUGCCUGUCUACCUUUUCUAUGUCUCCGGUCGAGUGACCAGUUCGAAUCCAAGAACAACUCGCACCUGUUUGUCUGCUUUUAUUCCAGGUCAAGUGCCCAGCUCAAUCCAAGAGCAGCUUGUACCCGUCAAUUUGUUCCUAGUCUCCUAUCUACCCUGUUAUCUGUUAUCUUGUCAAUGUCUACCAAUCCCGCAAUGGAUACGACAUCUUUUGUUAAUUCCAGCUUUCGUUUGUCUCGCACUCAUAAUCCAAAUGUUGCAUGGCAUUCAUGAUAUUUGAAAAUGUACAAGCGUAUUUUUACGUCCAAACACAGUGCAAAUGUUAAUAUUUAAGUAUCUUCGUCCCGUCGAGCCAAAGACUCCGUCUCUUGACCCUCCAGACAAAGAAACUUAAAUAGGGGCAGCUGUUAUACCCUGAUUUUGGACCUAAAAAUACUCGUUCAAAUUUCUUUUCUAACACUGAUACUUGUCAAAUUCUCUGUUAUUUUUUUCUCUGAAUCUUUACUCUUUUUUUAAACAUAUUUUACUGCCUCUGUCUGUCUUUUCUUGCAUUACAAGUCAUUUAAGAACUCUCUGAAACGUCGCAUUACUUUUCUUGCAUUUUAUUUCAAAAAAUCAUACAAAAGGGGUAUUUUGGUCAUUUCCUGCAGUGGAACCCAUUUUAGUCCCUGUGUUUGCCUCUGAGUCUUUUCAACUUGUCUGUACGAAUUAUUGUUGAGUCUUUGUUUAAAAAAUCAUUUCAAAAAUUGCAUCUGAGUCAGUUAGUCCCUAGGGGCAUUUUGGUCUUUUCCUGUUAAAAUUCCGACAGGGAGGUAUUUUAAAAUACCUCAUGUCGGUAAUUUGUUCGUUUUAGUCCGUUUGUUGAUUUUAUUUUUCGUUUCACUUUACCUUUUUACCAAUUACCAAUUUUAAUUCAUUUUAUUUUUAUUUACAUUUCGGUCCCCCAAAAGGGUCCCAAAAUUGCAUUUUUGUCCAAUACUUUUUUAAUUACAUUUUUUUAGUUUUUUUUUAUUAUUGCAGAUUAGUCCUCAUAUUAACUUUUUGUCAGAUUAGUCCUUAAGUCCAAAACAGUCCAGGUGUCAAUUUUCCAUUGGGUCACCAAUACACAUGGCAGGCUAUAAAUAGUAAAUGUGUCAGAUCCAUCACAAUCAGUCAAAAAAAAUCAGAAUCAAUCACAAUCAGUCUCAAACAGAAUCUUUUUCUCUCUCUCAUCCAUAACAGAAUCAAAACAGAAAAAACUCAGAAAAAAGAGGAAGAACACCAAGAACACCUCAUCACCAAAAUCAACAGAUCUAAACCGGAUCUGCUCAGAAUCAGCUCCAACCACCACAAAAUCAACAAAUCCGAACCGGAUUCACUCAAAACCACCGCGAAUCAUCACAUCAACACUAAAACAUACCGGAUUUUCGAGCAAAAACAACACCAACGGAGGAUAUAGCGCGCGCGCGAAAGAGAAGAGGAGAGAUUCGAAGUUUUCCGAAUAUCUUUUUUCUCCGUUCUACGACAGAGGUAACGCGUUUCUCCUUUCUUUCUAAGCCAUUUCCGCGCAUUUCUUGCUUGAAAAAAGUGUGAAAAAGUUUGUUACGGACAUGUAUUUGUAGAUCUAGGCUUGUACGUUCGGAUUUUAGAAAUUCCGAGACCGGAUUCGGACUCUAGAGAGAAAAGGAUAUCUAGAUCCGUAGUUUUUUUUCAAAAAAAGUGUGAAAAAUUUUCAAAGUAAAAACGUAGAUCUAGUCCGAAUCGCUCCGUUCUCGCUAAAACUAACGCCGGAUUUGUGUAGAGGAGGUGGUGACGGAACUUUUGAUGUAAAAAUUUUUAAAAAAAAAGUAGUUUGAAUUUUCCGGCGCGGUGGCGCCGCCGCCGGAACCACCACCACUCAUGCUCGCUGGCGGCGAGUUCCUAGAGAGAAGGGAGAGCUUCUCUCUCUAAGUGUGACUUAGAGAGAGAAGGAGAAGAAGUUUAUGUGAUUUUUGUGUGAAAUUUCCUUUAUAUACUCCCUCCGUUCCCACGCGCGCGCGUGCAUGUUUCUAUGGUGUUCCCUCGCUCUGUGAACCAUCAGAUCUGGAUUGUUCCAAGAUCUGAUGGCUGCUGUGUGUUUGAUUUUGAAUCCUGUGUAUGACUUUUUGUGUGGAAUAUGGUAUAUCUUCUGUUUGAACCGUUAGAUCUUUGAUCUAACGGUCACUGUGCUUCCUGCAUUUUACACUAUCUUUUGUGCUUUUUUUUGGACCCUUGGAUCUUUGAUCCAGUGGCUGUGAUGUGAUCUUGGGAGUUAGAUCUGGACCUCUGGAUUCAUCCAGCGGACCAGAUUAAAUCCUGCUGAGUCCUUUUUUUAAUUGCUUUUUAAUUGUGUUUUAAAUACUUUUUUACACUUUCUUGGCUAUUUUAUGCUCCUAAAAAAUUUUCUAAAAAUAUUUCCCUAUCAUUUAAUUUUUUCCUUCCAAGUGUUAGAAUUUAUUUGCUUAUUUUUGUCAUUUAUUUUCUUUACUUUGUUCUUUUAAUUCUUGCUCAUUAAAUUCCAUAUAUGUUCUUGAUGCAUUUUUUACAUAUUAUGAUAUUUUGGCAUGUGAAAUAAUGUGUGAAAAUAUCUCUAGGAAUAUGAUAUAAUGCUUUGCUUGUGUGUACUCUUAUGAUCCUCACAUUGUAGCUUAAAUUCAAACCUUUCAAAAAAUGGCUAUAAUGAGGGAAUUAUAGGUCAUAUGCAUGUAUGAGUGUUAUACCUAAAUUCUAGGUGUAUUUUUACCACUUUAUUUCAUUUCAUUACUUUUUUUUUCUCUCUUGCUAUUCUAUUCAAUUUUGUUUACCUUUCUACUAUUUUUAUGCUUUAUGAUACUAACCAUCUCAUCUCACAUUUCAUUCAUCCCAUAGUUUUGGCAUCAUUUUUCUAUUCAUUUCUAUAUCAAUUGGGUUUGUAAUAAUUUUAGAUAGAUUAGUUCCUUUUUAAAAUUCUUUGCAAGACCAUAGCAUGUAUCUAGGACUCAAUGUAAAGGACUAUGGACACUAUAAGUGAUGUACACCGACACGAGCACCGACACAUGCACACACCCCACAUGGAUGUUCUAGAUGCAUGAUUAGGGAAUGUAUGUUUAGAUGUAUGCCUAGGUUUUACAACGCUUAGACAAAAAAAUCAUUUUUUCAAAAAAUGUGAAUAACCUCACUUGAAAACUUUUUUUCUAAAAUAGGAGUCAAAACUCCUCAUUUUCCUUUUGUUUUCUUAAGUAAAAAUUUUUUUAAUAAAUUUUAAUCAUGCUUAGACUUUAUUUUGCAAAAUAACUACUUCCACCUCACUUUUUCCAAAUCUCAUGCCCUUGAGGCCUCUCACCUCCAUUCUUCAAAAUUCCUCUUUUCUUUUCAAACUUAAAAUCAACCAACAAAAACAAAAACAAUUUUCGAGAACGAACUACGUUUGGUUUUGAUCCCUUAAAAGGGUACGUAGGCAAUGAGUUAAAACUCCUCCAAGCCAAGUAAAAUAAAAUAUCAAUCAUCUUCUCUCCCCCAUUCUUCACUAAAAUAAAACUUCCUUUUUUAAAAUAAGUAGGCAAUAAAAAUAAAGCGUAGAAAUAAACUUAGGAGAACGGUUCUUAUGGAAUACCAUAAUCGUUCCGGGUGCCUAACACCUUCACGUAGCGAAAACGACCCCCGAACUUAGAAUCUAAGGGUUUUUUCUCAAUUUUGCCCUUCCCAAGAAAAAAUAGAGAAUAUCAAAGAUUGAAAGGUUCAAGCCUAAUUAAUGACUUGACAACCGAAAAUCGCGAUAACAAACCCGAUCCAAGGGGCAAGUGGACGCCUAACUAUGAAGGUCCUUAUGUUGUCAAGAAGGCCUUCUCCGGUGGUGCGUUAAUCCUUACACACAUGGAUGGUGUAGAACUUCCGAAUCUAGUGAAUGCCGACAUAGUCAAGAAAUACUUUGCCUAGAAAUAUGAAAAGAACAGCGUGGUAGGUCGAAAACCUGAAAGGGCGGCCUAGGCAAAAAUGCGCUUCCCGGUGGAUCGAAAACCCGAAAGGGCGGUCCAGGCAAAAAUAAGGGACAAAAAAAUAUAUGAAAAAGCUCGCUGAGAUUGUACACAACUCAGGCAAGAAUGAGCGUCUCGAUGAGACCGAAAACCCGGAAGGGCGGUUCAUGCAAAAAUGAGAUUGAAACAAAAGGCAAGUAACUAUAUCUGGCCAACCACCGUCUCCCGUUGGGGCAUCUGCAGCUGUUAAUGACUAUCUUCAUCAAAAGCUCCUACGCUUGUGAAUUCAAAGUUUCUAGGAAAUGUAAUGAUUGCUGUAUUCAAUGUACCACCAACCAAUAAAAUUACCAUUUUCCAAGCUUUGUAAAUCCGUGGAGUCACGCCUUCGGCUGACCACCACUCUUAUACAUCAAUUUGAGCCUGUGCUUUUGUUUGAAACUCUGUUUUCUUUUUACUUUCAAAGUUAUGUACAAAAAACAUUUUCCUUCUAUUUUAAUAAUGACAAAUGCUCGAAACAAACAUCUUGAAAAUUGAAAAAGUUUUUUUUUGAAAAGCAAACCUGAGCAACAGGGUACAUUCAAAUGAACAUGCAUGAGCGAGUGUGUGUUGGUGUCUAUUUCAAUAUAUGUUACAAGCAGGUUCUCCUCCAGGAUAGUCUGUGGUCAAUGGCAAGAAUGAAAAAACAGAAUGAAAAUGCAUGAAAAUGAAUAGGCUCGCUAAGUUGAAAACCCGGAAGGGCGGCUUAGGCAAAAAGGAGCACCCCGCUGGAUUGACAACCCGAAAGGGCAGUUCAGGCAAAAAUGGGGCAUUGAAAAGAAUUUAUUUCCCCGGUGGAUCGAAAACCCGAAAGGGCGAUCCAGGCAAAAAUGGGAUGCAAAAAAAAUGAAUGAAUGAAAAUUGAGAAAAUAACAUGCAAAAAGCAUUGACCACAGAUGCGACAUCCACGAUGCAUCCAGCAUUAUUCCCAGUAGAGUCUUCCGAGAUCCUAUCCCCAGCAAGUUGCAUAACUACCUGCCCUCAGCCAUGGUUCCGAUACGUCUCCCAACGACGUCAUCUCCAAAGAGGAUUUCCAAGAAUGUGUAAUAUAGCACGAGCCAUUACGUGCCCAAUGCUCCAGUGUCUUGUCUGUCUCUGCGGAAUUGUGUCUACAAAUCGCCAACAGUCAUGCAUUACAAACAUUCAUACAUGCAUAAUCAUGCAUAUUACGUGCCCAUGCAUUUAAUGAAAUUGUUAUAUCAUUCAUGCAUGUUGCAUUUCCAAUGUCAACAUCAGUCUCAACUCAAUACUCAUGUCAGGUUCUCUGUCAAAACCUUGUGAGCCAACAAUAUCGGUCAAUUUCUACCUUUCAAAUCAAAUCGACGUCAAGUCAAUUUCAACCUAUAUUUUGUCAAAAAAACUAAUCCCCUCUGAAUUUGUUUCUGUUCGGUCAAGUGGCUAGCUCAAGUCCAAGAACAGCUUGUACCUAUCAAUUUGCUUAUGUUAUCGGUCGAGUGCCCAGCUCAAUCCAAGAGCAGCUUGUACCUGUCAAUAUUUUCUGUUUGGUCAAGAUACCAGUUCGCAUCCAAGAACGACUUGUACCCGUUUACUUUUCAAUGUUAUCGGUCGAGUUACCAGUUCGAAUCCAAGAACAGCUCGUACCUGUCUAUGUGUCUAUGAUUUUGGUCAAGUGGCUAGUUCAAGUCCAAGAACAGCUUGUACCCGUCCAUCUGUUUCUGUUCGCUCAAGUGGCUAGCUCGAUCCAAGAGCAGCUUGCGCCUGUCUAUUUUGUCUUUGUCUCCGGUGGAGUAACCAGUUCGUAUCCAAGAACAAGCUCGCACCUGUCUAUUUGCCUUUGCUUUCAGUCGAGUGACCAGUUCGAAUCAAGAACAACUCGUACCUGUCUACCUUUUCUAUGUCCCCGGUCGAGUGACCAGUUCGAAUCCAAGAACAACUCGCACCUGUUUGUCCGCUUUUAUUCCAGGUCAAGUGCCCAGCUCAAUCCAAGAGCAGCUUGUACCCGUCAAUUUGUUCCUAGUCUCCUAUCUACCCUGUUAUCUGUUAUCUUGUCAAUGUCUACCAAUCCCGCAAUGGAUACGACAUCUUUUGUUAAUUCUAGCUUACGUUUGUCUCGCACUCAUAAUCCAAAUGUUGCAUGGCAUUCAUGAUAUUUGAAAAUGUACAAGCGUAUUUUUACGUCCAAACACAGUGCAAAUGUUUAUAUUUAAGUAUCUUCGUCCCGUCAAGCCAAAGACUCCGUCUCUUGACCCUCCAGACAAAGAAACUUGAAUAGGGGCAGCUGUUAUACCCUGAUUUUGGACCUAAAAAUAACUACGUUCAAAUUUCUUUUUUAACACUGAUAUUUGUCAAUUCUCUGUUAUUUUACUUCUGAAUCUUUACUCUCUUUUUAAACGUAUUUUACUGCCUCUGUCUUUUCUGACAUUACAAGUCAUUUGAAAAUUCUCUGAAUCAUUACAUUACUUUUCUUGCAUUUUAUUUCAAAAAUCAUACAAAAGGGUAUUUUGGUCAUUUCCUGCAGUGGAACCCAUUUUAGUCCCUGUGUUUGCCUCUGAGUCUUUUCAACUUGUCUGUACAAAUCAUUGUUGAGUCUUUGUUUAAAAAAUCAUUUCAAAAAUUGCAUCUGAGUCAGUUUGGGUCAGUUUAGUCCCUAGGGGCAUUUUGGUCUUUUCCUGUCAAAAUUUCGGCAGGGAGGUAUUUUAAAAUACCUCAUGUCAGUAAUUGGUUCGUUUUAGUCCUUUUGUUAAUUUUAUUUUUGGUUUCGCUUUACGUUGCGUCAAAUUUACUUUUUAGUCCAAUUUUAUUUUUUUUAAUUGCAUUUUUGUCCAAUACUUUUUUUAAUUGCAUUUUUUUUAGUCUUUUUUUUUAUUAUUGCAGAUUAGUCCUCAUAUUAACUUUUUUGCAGAUUAGUCCUUAAGUCCAAAACAGUCCAGGUGUCAAUUUUUCAUUGGGUCUCCGAUACACAUGGCAGGCUAUAAAUAGUAAAUGUGUCAGAUCCAUCACAAUCAGUCAGAAAAAAAAAAUCAGAAUCAAUCACAAUCAGUCUCAAACAGAAUCUUUUUCUCUCUCUCAUCCAUAACAGAAUCAAAAACAGAAAAAACUCAGAAAAAAGAGGAAGAACACCAAGAACACAUCAUCACCAAAAUCAACAGAUCUAAACCGGAUCUGCUCAGAAUCAACUCCAAUCACCACAAAAUCAACAAAUCCGAACCGGAUUCACUCAAAACCACCGCGAAUCAUCACAUCAACACCAAAACGUACCGGAUUUUUGAGAAAAAACAACCACAAACGGAGAAAACGCGCGCGCACGGAGAGGGGAAAAAGGGAGAUUCGAAGUUUUCCGAAGAUUUUUCUCCGUUCUACGACAGAGGUAACACAUUUCUCUCCUCUUUUCCUUCAUUUUCGCGCGCACCUAUAGUGUAGAAAAAGUGUGAAAAAGUUUGUUACGGAUAAAGAUUUGUAGAUCUAGGCUUUUGUGUUCGGAUUUUGGAAAUUUUGAGGCCGGAUUUGGACUUUAUAGAGAAAAGGAUAUCUAGAUCCGUAGUUUUUUUUGCGAAAAGUGUGAAAAAAAUUUCAAAGUAAAAACGUAGAUCUAGCCCAAAUCUCUCAGCCCUUUCUAAAACUAGUGCCGGAUUUGUGUAGAGGAGGAGGAGACGAAGCUUUUGGUAUAAAAAUUUUGAAAAAAAAAAAAAAAAAGCUCCGACGCGGUGGCGCCGCCGCCGGAAACCGGCCGGCCGCCGCGCCGGAGCAGCUCCGGCCACCUCCUCCACCUUCUUCUCCGGCGA